CUUCGGCCUUCCACUGCUCUUACAGUGCCAACUAUAAUUAAGCACUGCUACUUCCACCUUGAUUUCCAUGAGCCCAGUAAGGUUUAGCAGGGGUGCGUCGUAAUGCCCUCACUCCCAAUGGGUUGUCCUUGCUCUGUUGCAGAAAAUUCAAGAAAGCACAUAAGAAAAAUAAAAAAAUAAUCAAAAAGAGAAAACCAGGACUGCUAAAUUUAAACUUGAAAGCUCAAAAGAAAAACAUCAAACGAUUUCUUAAUAGAAUCAUGCAAUGCAACCAAAUAGCUUGAAUUUAAAACAUGAAUAUCGAAAUAUUUGCCCAUUGGUCUUUGGCACACUGCUGCAAAGCCUAGAGCAGCCAAGCGUACCAACAAAAUUUAGCAUAUCUUACCAUCAAGCAGGUCCCAGCACGAACAUUACAGAUGGGAUAGUCAUGUGGGCAGCAGCUAUAGUGGUCAUCACAGCAGGUGGCAGCCUCAAGCGGGCAGCAUCCCCAUGCAAAGCAAGAGUUACCAUACUCAAAGACACAGCAGCAAGUGUUGCUCUCAGGGCAAGAGUAAUAAUUGUCACACACAGCAGGAGGCUUUGUUGGAGAUGGAGGGGACGGUCCAGGGUUGGGAGGAUUUUGGCCUUUCUUUAUGGGAUAUGAGGCCUCCAUGGCAAUUCCACACUUGCCCGUGAGAGUGCCAGCCACGUUACGCUCCAUCCUAAUAUAGCCAGCCUCUCCCCAGCUACUGCCCCAUGAAUUCUUCACAAUCCAGUAAUCAGCUCCAUUUUCUGUGCCAUAUCCAACAGCAGUAACACCAUGGUCCAGAGAUGUCCCACAUCUUCCCGUAAAUAUACCCUGAAAAUUUGCAAAGACAGAAAAAUAUACUUGAGACUUCCUUAAAACAGAUCAGACACACACAAGACUCUUCCUGAUCCUGUUUAGAAACCAUUAGAAAUACAAUAAUUUUUGUUCAAAUACCAUCCAGUAUUGUCUCAACCAUAUCUUUUCAGAACUGCAAAAUGCAAAUACUUUGUAUCUAGAUAAUAGCAACAUUCCUAAAUCUAAAAUGUGACAAGUGCCAUGAAGAGAUGAAAGUUACCGAUUCAUAUAACUGGAAUGCCAUGCCACCUCCUUCAAUGGCAACACUCACGGGUUGAUUUGCAACUGCCUUUUGCAAAGCUUUCUCGUCAUUUAGGGGAACAUCUUCAUAGUCAUCAAUUGUAACUACUUUGGCAUUUUUCUGACAAAGCCAAAAACCAAAGGCUUAGAAUGAUCCUCCAUUAUAUAGUAUGGCAUUUCUUCGUAAAACAAUAGAGUAAAAAUACCUACCCGAUAUGUGUCACAGCUACCAUCAAUGGCUUUGUAGGGGUAAUCUUCUUCUGUGUCAAUACCUCCAUUAUCAAUAAUGAACUCGAAUGCAUAGUCCAUCAAACCACCAUUACAUCCUUCAUUAUAUGAUGUAUCACAAUCCACCAACUCCUGCUCGGAUAGUGAGAUCAGGCUACCUGUAACAAUCUUGUUUAUACCCUCUACAGCUGCAAUGGUUGAAAAUGCCCAGCAACUCCCUUCAUUCAAGCGAGAUACAAUCAAAUAAUGGUUAGAAUCACACGACACAGAGAGCAACAGAUAAUUUGCUUUCUGAAUUUCUAACCAAGUUAAGUACUUAGACAACUCAAUAUUUGAAUAUGUUUUGUAUCUACAUCAGUUGAUUUAUUACCUACAAAAGUUAGGUAGGGGAAAAAAAAUCGUCACUUCAUAUAAUUCUGAGUUAUUAAGUUUGUUCAGAAUGAUGGAUUGAGGUUGAAUAAGACCGCAAAAGACUUGUAGGACAUAAAAUGUUUAAUAUCUCUCAUUGACAGGUUUUACCAUACUACAACUUUAAUGAUAAAUAAAAAAAUAAUUAACUUGCUACUACAGGACAAUGACUAAUACAAGUUAUGGCGUAAUAAUUAUUAUCUAAGGACUAAUCCCUAAAAUCUCUUAGAACGGAACAAGAUAUCAAGCUCGAAGCUCAUAGGUGGUGAAAUGAAUUACCAAUAUCCUGUACAAAUAAACAAAAUAAACGCACUUAUUUUGUUCAGAGCUUUAAUAAUUCUGCAGAUGCAGCCAACUGACACACUGAUAAGCGGCCCAGCCCACUGACACGUAUUAAAAUUUUGUGGUGUUACCAACUAUCACCAAAAGUGAUAGGAAUACGAUUUUCACGUCUACUGAACACAAAAAAAAUAUUACUACAGCUUUUAAAAAGGUCCGCCAAUCUGUACCCAAUGGCAGCUAUGUUCAACCAACAAGCUCUGGCCACGUCAGGACAGCCAAACAAGAUUCCAUCCAGACAGUUCUUUUUAUUUUCAUUUGGAAAACAUUUUCUCGUGAGGGAAAACAGAAAAUAUCUCGAGCCUUUCGUCAGAAGAUAUCUUCUUGUUUUUCACACUUCCUAAUUUCUUGUCAGUUUUUCUCUUUGUUGUUUUUCGACAAAACAAUAAAAAAGGAAUACUCAAUUUGGACCAUUGAUUAUCACAGUGGCCCAAGCCUCCGAACUCUCGCCAAAAGUCCGAGACGAAACAGCACUUUAAAAAAAUAAUCAUAAUAAUAGUGUCGGAGAAAAAAAGAAAUUCACGAAAACCAGAUUCUAAUUGAUGGAAAAGAUUAAAAAAUAACAGUAAUAGUCCUAACCGGUCAACUUAGCACAACUGCCCCCAACCGGAAGCAGUGCAGAUUCUUCUAACUCUAAUCAUCCUUAAAAUACCAAACAUACCCUUUCCUUUCCUUUCCUUUCCUCUCCGCAAUCGAUUCAUUCAUAAUUUUAAGAUAAUAAUUAAAGUACUGCAGGUAACGAAUAAAAUCUAAAAAAGAAAAAGUAAAUGAAAACAAUAAAAAAACUGACCACAGCUUCCUUGAUCUUUAACUUCAGCGACAGCUCCUUUCUUCCUCCAAUCAACAGAGUCCGGCAACGCCUCGCCGACACGUGGCAGAUAACGGUCGCUCCUCUUUGAUUUCAAGGAAGUCCUUUUAGCACCAAAGCGUGCACCCAGAUGCAUGGACCGGUACUCCUCGUUGGUCAAAUCAGCAAACCGGUUCAACCCAACCUUGUAGGUCCGGUUCUCUGAGUUAUGUUCAUCAAUAAACCUAAGAUUUUCCUUAAAGAUCUCAAACCUCUUCUCUUUUUCACCCAAAGCGUUAUAAGCCUUGCCAUGCUUCACGAGCCAGGCCUCGAACAUAGCCAUAACCUCAUCGUCGGUCCUCCAGCUGCUAGAUUUUGACUCAUGGGUUUUAUCAUAAGAUACAAUCGACAUGUCCAAGGCAGAUGAAACAGUGAAGAGAAAAAGUAAAAACAUGGCCAUGGUUGGUGAUCUAAACAAACCCAUCUUUUGAGAAAAGAACUUUUUUUUUUUUCUUUUUGGGAGAAGAAGAUGGAUUGAUGAGGCAGAGUGUGAGGGUGAGGCAGGUGGUGGGUUAUUAUAAAGGAAAUUGAAGAGGCUAUUAAGUAAAUAAAUUAAAUGAGGAGGUGACAAACGUGGAGUAAAUUUUCAGGAUAUUUUAGUCUAGAGAUAUAUUAUGGGGUAAAUGAGAGCUGACAAAUAAGAAUUGGACAACUAAGAAGCAUGGGGGCGAUAUGCGAUAGGCUGGAGUGAAAAGCAAAGCGACCACUCCACUCGCUUCUGUCCAUACAAAUUUGGAGCGCGGUGUCAGCAAGUAACGAAUUAUCGGGGUUUGGUUUCACGCGCUUCCUUUCUUUUCCUUUCUUUUCUCGUUAAGACCCCUGUACUUUGACUUAAUUAUACUCGUUUUUGUUGUUAGACAAAGUUUAUCAGAAAAUACAAAAUAUCUGAAUGUGUUAAUUGCUGUAUUAAAAAAUCAAUCAAAAUGUUUUUCUUUUUUUUUUAAUAACUUCACUGCACUCCUUAAAGGCCUAAUAUCUCUUUUAAAUACACCAGUUUCUUAUAACUGAAAAAAAAAGACGAGAAAUUAUUGCUCAAUUCCUUUUAAAUGUCCAAAAAAAUUUCUUUACAGCCGAAAAUUCUUUAAAAAUAUGAAAAAUUCUCACCUUCAAUAAAAGAAAAUUAUCUUAGUUGUGACUUUAUUAUAAUAUUUGGUCCAUUAUUUAUAAAAUGGAAAAGAAAAAUCUAAAAUAAAUAUAAAAAAACUUAUUUUUUCGUAUGAUAAAUCUAUAAAUGAUUUUGAAAUUGCUAAAUUUAUAUAGUUAAUUAUAUCACCAUCGCAGGUCUAGCCAAAAUAAGUAGGAAAAUUGUUUAAAAACCCUUAUUCUACUAAAUUUAUGGUAGCUUGACAUCAAACUUGUGAUUUUUAAAUUUAGAUUGAUGUUAUUAUUAUUUUGUUUGAAUACCACAUGUCUGCAUCCAUAUGCGUAUUACAAAAAGAAAAAAAAAUAUAUUAAUAUUUAUAGUCAGAAAUUUAUUAAAAUAAUUUAAAUCAAUGUAUUUAUUUAAUUAUGUUAAUUGUUGGAAGAGUUGGCACGCCUGUCAUUUGUAGUCUGUGGGACACAAAAGAUGCCUUCGACGAACGGGACGGGUUACGGGAGACUGAAACUGCUCUUUUGUCUUAUCCGGGACCCACUUAAACGUUUGGAGAUAUUUCUGUAAAUUUGCAUCAAUUAUUUCAUCUUCAAUAUUUCUCAUCACCACCAAACAUGUGGACAGUGGAUGCUCUUUGAUGCGACUUUUUAAUUUAUAUUUUUGACUUUUAUAUUUCUUUUUUUUUUUUAUAAUCCUCAGCCGUUUCCUGAUUUUCUAUUUUGUUUAAAAAUGAUAACUAAGCAAAUUCUCAUACCAAAAUAUUCCAUGGGUCCUACUAAUUACCAAAAAAAAAAAAAAAAAACCAAAUUUUCAUUCAGCGAUGAGUAUUGAAUAUGCGACCCCCUUUUAUGUAUCUUAUUUUUCCUGAUAAAUGUUUUAUUUUGUACCCCAAAAAUAAAUGCUGAGUCACCGACCUAUAAUAAUUCAAGUCACACUAACCAAUCACGAACCAACAAAAAAACAAGAAAGCAAAUCCCCUGAACUACUUAAAUGCUUUUCUCAAUCACGUGCAAUUUUGGGAAUUACGUAAAAGUACCCAUUAUAGACAUUAAUUACAUAAUUAGAGUGUCUCAAAUUUUUAUAAUACAAAUUCUAAAUUUUUUAUUCUAAACAUGUAUCCUAAAUGAUGUGUCAUUAAUUAAGUGGUUGAUAAUUCUUUAUAAAAUUUAAGUGAAUUAAUUAUAUUAUCUCACCAACCACUCAAUUAAUGGCACAUCAUUUAGAAUAAUUUUUUUAAAUAAAAAAUUUAGAAUGUGUAGCAUUACUCUUUUUAUAAUAAGUUCCUCACUGAUAACUCGAAACAAGGGACAAUACGGUUCUUUUAUUGCUUCCGCAAUCCCAUUGAACGCUGCGUGAGGUUGCUAAGGCCAGGGAAGGGAACACGAGCAGGUUGUUGAGAACAUUAAUGCUUCAUAGAGUCCUUUCCAGCUUGUUAUCAGCAGUCAAGUUAGAAACGCCUCUCUGCAUUAGUCAAGUUAGAAAUUGAAUUGGUAGAUGAACACCUAACAAUUGUUAAAAUUCUAUUGAGUAUUAAUCAAAUUAAUCUAUUUUUUUUCUAUAGUAGGUACACCACCGAAAUAAUUAGUUAAAGAGUAGCGUACUCCCAUGGCUGAUGGUGAUAUCAUGAAUUCAUGAUUACGAAACAAGCCAAUAUGAACGCAGAGAAUUUAUAAAUAAUUACUAUUUACUACCCAUAAACACGAUUAAAUGUAUCUACCAACUUACCAUAAAAAUAAACAUUUAAGGGGAAAAAAAUCCACGGGUAGAGUACCUCCCGAAUUUUCACAUGAUCCAUCUAUCAAUCGACUUUUCGCUUUCUCUUUCAAUCAGAGCCCCAUAAUAAAUAAUUAAGGAACAACAAAGAUGACUUGCUUUUGAAGUAAAUGAUGGGGGCCAUAGCAUAGCCCAUGGCCCACCGAAUGUGAAUGGAAUCUCUACGAAUCUUUAUUUAAUAUUAGUUAUUCAGGAAUGGACAAUUUACUGAUGCCAUCGAGGCUGGUAAAUGAUAGGAACGAUUAGAUGGUGAUAACAUCAUUUUUCUUCGAUUUAUAGUUUUAUACAAGUCAAUUUGUACGUGGCUUGAUUAUUUUCCUUACGUUUUUCUUUUCUUAUUUGCUUUGGAUACUGAACUAUGAUUUUUCAAAACCAACUACACAUUUCGUGUGAAGAUAUUUGCCAAAAUGACAGUUUUUUUAAUUGGACUUGAUAAUGAUUCAAAUCCGAGUUUGGUAGAAGUUGUAUUAUGUUUAAUUUUAUAAAAUUGAUUUCUAUAUUAAAGGUGCGAUUGAAAUUGAGAUUAGAUAGUUAUAAUUUAAAAGUUAUAAUAUUAAAAUGUUUGAUAAAUACUAACUGUUGUAGUUUAGAAGUUAUACUGAUAUGAUUUUUCACUUAUAUAAUGAAAAAUUUAUUAUAUUUUUAAUAAUUUUAUUAAAAUUAUUAUAUAAAAUUUAUAUUUACUAUAUAUUAUUAAUUUAUAUUUCAUAAUUACAGAAUUUUUUUUAUAGCAGCUGUAACUUAAAAGUUACAACAUCUCAAUUUCAAACGCACUCUAAUUUUGAGAGUUAAAUAUGUAGUUGUGGCAUUAUUCACGUACCCAUAUAAUCUUUGAAUUGAAAACUCAAGUUACCUGUAAGCACGCAUGUUCCUCUAUGAUUGUACGUGACAUAUUUCAAUCUAACUACCAUGCACUCAAAAAAAAAAAAACUAUGCAAUCCAUAAUUUAUAAAUGGAUUUGUGUGGGAAUCAUAUCUGAAAUUCUAAAAAUCAUAUUCAAAUAUUAGUGAUUUUGAAUUUGUCAAAAUAAAAAUUCAUUAUAAGGCAGAAAAAUAGAAAGACUUAUUUAACUUUUUUUUUCUUUUGAACAUAGUUACCGUUAAAAAAAAAAAUUCAUUAUUGUUCAUUCCACUCCACCUAAAAUGAAAUUAAAUGUUUUCCUCGAGAUUAAGCCUAGACUUCUUAUUUUUAUUGCAAUAGUCAAGCAAAUUUGACUAUCGCUUAAGAAUAAAAAGCCUAAUCUUAAUUAGGUUUAAUAUUAGAACUGAAUCUCUCAAGGAAGGGCAACACUAUUAGCAGAGUUAAGGUAUGUUAAAUAUUAAAACAAGUUAAACAAAUUUUUCUAUAUGUUUUUGAAAAAAGAAAUCAUAAUUAGCUGAGCUCGCGUCUUUACUAAUUCAAUAAAAAAAAUCAUUUUCAUAAUUUAAACACUUUUGAGUUUAGACAUUAGUUGGAUAACUAUUAAUAAUUAAGUUAUUUUCAUUUAUUUGAUUUAUUUAUUGAGUUAAAAAAUCUCACAUAAUUAACAAAAAUCUAAUUUUAUAUUUAUAACAUUAACAAAAAUGGAAAUACCUGUUAUUAUUAUUCUAAGAAAAAAAAUUAAAAUUGCGGAGUAUUUAUUUAGAUAAGAUGCACACCUUUGAGGAGUAUUUAUUUUGACGUAUCUGGAUAUAUCCAUCAAUCUUUUUAGAUAAAAUACAAGAUAUGCAUUUUAAGAUUAAAAGACCGUAUACGUGGACGGUCUCUGAUCACUCUCCAGUAGUAACAAAUCACAAGAAGCAACAACCCCCUCCAACGUCAAUAAAUUCUGCUUGCACAUGGAACGAUGGAACGGGACGUCUCCUCUUUUUAUUUUUUAAUGCACUUUUUGAUAGCGAAAUUGAACUUAUUAGAUUCAAAACUCAUGAGUAUGAACCUGGGACCCACUCACCCCGGCAUGUUCUCUUUAGUCACCUUGCUGGGCCCCACUCGGAUGUCUUAUAUCGCUUGCAGUACGGCCCUACUCGUAAUUGACAGUUUGAGACGCGAUCAGCCGUUGAUCAACGAUCAAAUUAUGAAUCAGACGACGAUGGCAAUUGAACACAGAAUUGCAGGUUCUUGGACAGAACUUACAGCAUGAAUGAGGGUGUGAUGGUAAUUUUCUCUUGUAGAGAAUUUGAUCUUUGAUCAUAAUUCUUUCUUCCUUUGUCAAUUUGCUCGAGAGGCGAACUUGUCCACGUCUGUUGAGCUGGCUUAUAAUGUUAAAUACUCACCCGUUUCUCUAUCCAAUACGAAAAUAUUUUUGAUCUCACAUAUCAUGAAUUCAACAAACAAAGCAAGACAGUCAAACCACGCAAUCACUUGGGGAAAAAAAAAAAAAAAAAAAAAGAUAAACGGAAUCUUGCAUAUUGCCAAAGAAGGCAAAUGUUAUGUUAUAAUUAAUGUAACAUACACACUCAACAACAACCACACAAAUUAUGUGGGCUCAUUAUUUGUGUGGUUAUUGUUGAAUGUGUAUGUUACAUUAAUUGUAACAUAAGGGCUCCCGUCAAAGAAUAUUAGAAGGGUUAAUAAAGAGGAUAAGUCAUAAAUUUCAAUUAUAGCAGACACCGGCAUCAUAAGGUUAAAAUAUAAGAUUACAUGUGUUAUAAAUGAACAUUCUACCUCGAUAGCUGCAAAAUCUAAUAAUAUAACGCUCAAAAAAUAGAACGUCAUCCCCCUAACAGAUUGUGGAAUCAAUUUGCCCAUGAGCUGCCUAAUUAUAAAAAAAUAAAAAAAACUAGUUGAUGAUGAUAAGCACACUAAAUUUUUUGUUCUAUUGGUAACAAAACAUCGCUGGCGAUAUUCAUUUCUCACAUGCCCACUUGGACAAAAAUUUCUUAGACCUACGUUUUCAUCUAUACUCAAGCCUCAUUGAAGUACAAUCAUAAAGUAUAAUACAAUUAACGAUGAACAAAAUGGUUCAACACAAUUUAGUUUUACACCAUGCAGCAACCAACCAUCCGAGCUACAUUAUAUUAUUAUAAGCAAACUAUGUUUAUUCGCCAUACAGAUUACAGACAACAUACUUCACACCUUUUUGCAAACAUCAUCACAUAAACAUAAAAGGAACUUUGAUAUGGAAAUACAAUCAAAUUCAAACUCUGCUUGAUUUGGAGUUGCUCUGUGAAUCAACACCGCAGACAAUAGGCACCGGCAUAAUAUCUUGCUUUUGCUCCCUCUUUGGAAGUUCACAGAUGUAAAUGCCGUCUUCACCCACAAGGUCCUGCAACAGAGAGCUCCCAUCAUGGAAAUCCAUUUCCACCAUCCAUCCUUCUGCAUAAGCCUUCCAGGCCAUUUCUACCAUUGCUCGUUCUGUAAGAUAAUCUUUUUGGCUAACUCAAGUCCAAAAUCCUUCGGGACAUCUGUUGGAACACGCUGCAGUGAUGUACAAAGACUAUUCAGAAGCAACUAUAUAAAUCAAUCAAACUCACUUAAAGAGUCUUUCUACAUUAUGAGCAAAGAUGAUUUACCAGGCUCUUCCGAACCCCUAACCCUGCUUUUGCCGCAAAAUAGGGGUUUCCACACUGGGAAGCUGUUCUCUCUUUCCUUUUAAAAUCAUUAGUUGAUUGAGAUCUUCCAUCCCUAGCUGCAGCCAUAACCCUCAGAAUCAAAUUAACACUAGGUUACAUUUAUCUCACAUAAAUCCACGCACGCAUCUGCAUGACAUUAACAAAUGCACAUAGAAUGGAACAACAUUUAAAUUACGAACAAUAAAGAAUAUUCUAACAGGUACCUUUUCCUGCGCUGAUCUUCUUCUUCUCCUUCAACAUAAUCUUCGUCACUGGCACUGUUAUUACUAGCAUCCUGAUAUUUUUCUUCUUCUUCUUCUUCUUCCUCAUCAUUCUCAACCUUAAUCUCUUCUAUUAAUGUUCUCUUCUGGCAUCCUAUCUCCCAAAUAUUUUAACAUUGAAGUCAUAUUCACCAUUGUAUUGGAACAGUAAAAAGUCUCCAGUAUCUAUAGAAUUAUCUUUAGAAAACUUUCGUCAACCAUUUAGAAAAUACACUCUUUUAUCUCUAUAACCUACAUCCACAUGUCAAAGUUUCCCCAUUUCAUUACUGAGGAAGACCUUCUCAGGUAUCAAUCUCCAAGGAUGCUCUAAUAGCAUCGGGAAUUUUCAUAACAGAGUUUCAUUUUAAUCACAGAAAGAAACUACUUUUUUUUUUUAGUUCUUAUUCUUAUGUAAUUUUACUCUUCAUCUUAUGUGAGUUUUAAAAUUCAUGGAGUUAUCUAAACAUAUUUUGAAAUGAAUAUAUGCCUGACAGAGCACUAUUUUCCACGGUUGACUAUAUGACGCCCAAUUUCUGCCGAUAGCUGGAGCAUAGUUCAUGUUGUCAUGAUCCUACUUAUUAUAACCUCACUAAAGAACUAUGAUCCCAUCCCAUCAGCUUUUUGCAUGUAUAUAUCAAAAGACACAAUUAAAAGCACACAAAGAAUGUAUACAACAACCCAACCGAAGAAUACGGGGCACAUUGCAAAUGAAAUAAUAUUAAACAGAGGAAAAGGGCUGAUUUAUUUAUUAUUAUUUUUUUUCAAAUGAGUCACGUACUCUUCUGGAUGGGCCUAACGGAAACUUGAAAUUUUCCCUGAACAUAAUUUAUGGGGCAGUGGGUUUUUUUUUGUAACCUGUUGCUUUCGCUCGUUAAAAGGUCUUUUGUUUUUUUUUUGCCCUUUUUGGGAUUAUUAUUAUAAUUUUUGUCCUCUUCUUUUCUUUGGGCUUUAAAAUGGGAUGAUUUGAAUCCUGAAACAUGCUUGAUGUACAAAUGAAAGAGGCAGAUAAUCUUACUCCUUCUAGUGACUGUUGCCAAUAGCCAUUUUGAUGAGAAUGAAACUGUGUCUGUCUGUACUCUAUUUUUAGCUUGUAGUUCUAGCGCGCGCGCUGUGGGGCCACGUUAUCGACGUGGAUUCUUUUCGGAUAACAUAACUGGUUGAUUAUAUAUAUAUAUAUAUAUAUAUUUUUAAAAAGAAUAAAUUAUAACAAAAAUAUAUCCCUCAAAUUGUACGAGAAAGGUGUUAUUUGGGUGACAAUAGUACCGAAUUUGCAAAUUGGGCUGGAUAAAGUUUCUCUAAUGAUCCAACCCAAAUGAAAAAAUUAAAGAAAAAAAGUCAAAAAGGAAAUAAAAUCUGUUUUCUUCCUCCGCCAGUUCCCCACCUCUUCCCCCGGAAAGACAUUGUGAAAGAAGCUGCCAGAGAAUAUUAUGUAGAAAUUUCUAAACAGAAGUAGCUUGAUAGUCAACACAAAAAUUCAAAACUCAAUCAAAUCAAAAGACCAAGCUAAUUUUUUAUUUAUUAUAUUUAGAAAAUAAAGAGAAGUUAGGAGGAAAAAAAAAAAAAAAAACAGUAUAAGAGGGUACCAAUCCCAAUUCCCAAUACCUGACUGAAAAUUGAAAGUAACUUCGCAUUUCUAUCAGAGUUUUCCUUAGCUUGAAAAAAAAUUUACAUGUAGUUGGCAUGGUGCAAAUUUCCAUACAGCUUCAUUGAUAAGAUUUACCUUUAGUGUUUGAAAAUUCGAAAUUGGAAUUAUUUCUGCUUGGAAUUUUUCUUUUUGACUUCAUGAAGUAGGCGUUGGACUCUCUUAUGCGCUGAUUAUGAUAUUUUAAUUAAUUUAGCAGACAAGGGAAAGAUUAGCAAACAUUUAUUAGCAAGCCAAAAAUUAAAUUGUAAAUAGUCAACAAAAGAAGAAAGCACGAUUCGAACAGAAUAAUAAAUUGUGUUAAUAGGCGGCCAAUACAUUUACUUGUUGUGGAAGAAUAACGGUUGGACACGUGUUCUUUUCUCCUUAUCGAACGUUCAAGUUUAUGCCAACCAACGACAUAAAUUUUCAAAAAAUAAAAAUUCGUGUAAAUCUUACGUUUAAUGUGUCUAAUGUCUAUUCUCAUUUUAAAUAUCUGCAUAUGAACAUCCUUCAUGCUUCCCCACAGAUGCACUAAAUUAUGGAGAGUUUCAUCAAUAAAAACAAUAACAACCCCCAUAUUUAGGCUUGGUAAAAUUCGGGUCCGAUCCGAAUUUUGGUAUUGUCUAGAACCGGACCGGAUGAGAGAAAUACAAGACCGGAUUCGGGUUAAAACCUGAUUUUUUCGGGUGCGGUCCGGGCUUGAGCCCGGCACCUUCCGGUUUCGGGUUUUGAUAUGGGCUUUCUAAACCUGCAUGUGAUAACUUCAAAUUUUUUUCUUCAAUUUUUUCUUUCAUUUCUCUAAUAAUGUAAAUUUAAAAAAAAUAAUAAUCAAAUAAACUCAUUCAAUCUCAAACUUUAAAAAAGAAAAUAGUCAAAAUACAAAUAUAUAACACACUAACAAUGCAAAUUUUGCACAAAUGAUAAAUUAAAAUUAUUUCAAUCUACUUUUUAAUACCUAAAUUCAUCCAAUUUCUAACUUAAACUCAUUCAAUCUAUAUAUAAAAUAAAUAAAUUAAAUUCAACAACACAAUAAUCACACAAUAAAUUUAAAUAACAUCCAACAUAUCAUAAAUUCAUAAUUAUAUAUUUAUAUAUAAUAUAUUUAUAUAUAUAUAUAUAUUUUUUUAAAUUUAUUAAAAAACUGGGUCCGGUCUGGGUUUCGGGUUUUUGGUGUUGAACCCGGACCCGGGCCCGGAAAUGUCCGGAUUUGAGAAUUUCAAAACCGGGUCUGAUUUUUAUGUGCAUGCGGUCUGAGUUUUGUCCCGACCGGAUUGGCCGGGUCCGGUCCGGGCGGGCUUUUUUGACACCCCUACCCAUAUUCAAGUCAUUUCAUCUUGUGAUCUCAAAGUUUGUUACCCUUUUUGGAGGAAAAUAUAUAUUUUUUCUUCCUUUUGAUGCAAAAUUUCAGAGUAGCAACUUAUAUAAUUGCUGUCUAGGGUCUGAUCGAAUAAUUUGGAAGUAAAUUUUUUUAAUUGAUUUCUUAAGUUCGAAUAUUAGGAUAAUUGAAUCAUUUUUAAGUAAACUUUUUAAUUGAUCUCUUAAGUUCGAAUAUUGGGAUGAUAGGGAGUUAAAUGUAUCAAUUUGAGAUUUUUUUUUUCAUCCCUAUAUUAAAAAAAUUAAAUAUAUUCAGCUAAUUGUUUUAUGUCCUUUUUUUCUUUUUCUGCUCCCUUUUUAAUUGGGUUUAUUGCGAUUUGAAAUUUCAUGAUUCAUCUACGCGUUAAUUCCUAUUCUUAUAACUUUUUGCGGUGAAUAAUUUAAUUGCAUAGAAUUGUGAUUUUAAAAUUUUACUAUGUUCUUAAUAGUUCAUUGUAUUUAAAAAAAGAAAGAAAGAAAGAAAACAGCAUUAUAAUUUUGACAGAAUCGGAGAUAAAAUGGAACGUUGAAAGUAGCUAGACGAUAUCAAGACAACUUCAAAUUUCAAAACGAAAAAAACAAAGACAAAGUGCGGCGAGUGAUGAUAUCUUCUUUGCCGUUUCAACUUUUUGUGCAUUAUUUUAUGGUAUAGGAUGUUAUAGGCUUUCGAGGUUUCACGUCGCCUAAUAAUGCCUCUCUCUGUUUUUUGUUCGUAUAGUCUUGAUCUGGGUCUGGGCACAUGUUUUUUCGCUUUGUUUUAAUUUUGAAGAGCUGAGCUCUAUGUUGCCGCCCUAACGUAUAAAUUAUUUUUUUUCACAGAUAAAUUAUAUACAUGUUGACGGAUAAAUAAUAAAGCGAAAGAGGAAAUUUGAUUUGAUUAAUUAUCUCUGCGUGCAUGUCAAUAUUAGUUGUUGGCUUUUUAUUUUUUUACUAGAUAAUAAUAUAAACUCUUUCUAAUUUCAACGUCCACUCGUAGCCAUCAUUUUCAACGUCUAAUUGGAAGCAUCCAGGAGCAAUGGGUCAAUGCAUGGUGUGGAGCAGCGGGAUUUCAAAUUCAAUCAGCUGUGUAAAAUGGAUCUUGAAAAAUGAAAAUGAAUCCAAGGGUGGUGGUGGUGGUGGUGGGCCAUCAUAACAGGAAGUAGGUUAUUUGACGAAGGAAAGAAAAGAAAAGAGGGAAUCCCAUGUGACUUGCGGGGCGAGACUUUGACGCAGCUUCCGGUGUCCGGUAAAAGAGGAGCUCGUGGUCCCACAAACCCCCCCCCCCCUCCCCCUCUUCACUGAAUGACUUUUGCAUUAAAAGCUGUUAAAGGUCAACUCUACUUUACUGUCCCCAACUAACCUCUCUCCGAUUUUACCGAGUCAUCGAUUUCCAACGGGUCAUCACAACCUUUUGACCUUAUCCCCCUGAUCAUUUUACACGGUCUCCAAGCGGCUUAUCCCGUUACCGGGACCCACAUCAAUGAGGCAGUCAACAUCCUGACAAAAUCUGCCACCUGGGAUGUUUUUAUUGGAGGUUGGGUUCGACAGGUCAGUCAUUUCUGAUGCCUUGCAUUGCAUUUGCGAGAGGGCAUCAGUUUGACUCGAAUCUAUAACAAAACAAAGCCAAGCGCACCACACCCCCCACUUUUAUCAUCAAAAUCUUUAAUAAGUCAUUGUAUUGUUUCUUUGCUUUUUCCUUUUUCUUUGCUUUCUUUCAUCGUCAUUUUAACAAUUUUUCCUUGCCUUGGACAACAAGAUUUAAAUAGCCUUUGGGCUUUGGCUCUUAUUAGCGCUCGGUUUUAAAAGAAAUGGCCGUGGAGCUGAUGAUGGGUUACGGUUGCGGUGAUAGUUUUGCAGCAGCUGUGAAGAUGGAAGAGAACGCUGUACAAGAAGCUGCAUCCGAAGGUAUGCAGAGCAUUGGUGAGUUCAUAAAAUUAUUGUCUCGAAGUGGUCAAGUACCAUCUGAACAACAAACACAGUACCAAGAAUCUACAUCUUCCUCUCCAACAAAUCUCGAACCUGACAAGGAAAUCAAGGUCGCAGCUGAAGUGGCCGUGAACAAUUUCAAGAAAGUUAUUUCUCUACUUGGUAGACCAAGAACAGGGCAUGCAAGAUUCAGAAGAGCUCCUGUUGGUAGCCCUCCUCCUCCUCCUCCUCCUCCUCCUCAAAAAGAAGAAAAAGUACAUCUUCAAGAACCAGCAGGGCCAUCAGUUCAAUCUACAAAUCAUCUUUCAAAGGAACAAGUUUCUGCCUUCAAGGUUUAUUGCCCUACCCCUGUUCAUCGUCUGCCUCCGUUGCCUCACCAUGUUCAGAAGAGUAAUCCUAAUUCUACGGUGGUGACUAAGUCCGAUCAUGUGCCAAGCAGUAUCAAUUUCUCAGCCUCUGCCACAAAUUCUUUCAUAUCCUCGCUCACAGGCACAGCAGGGGAUACCGACAGCAUACAACCUUCUUUCUCAUCUGGGUUUCAAUUUACCACACCAUCAUCAGCUGGAAAGCCACCUCUGUCUUCUUCCUCGCUCAAGAGAAAGUGCAAUUCCAUGGAUGAUGCUGCUCUCAAGUGUGGCUCAUCUUCAGGGCGCUGCCAUUGCUCCAAGAAGAGGUUGGCUUCAUUUCUUUAACAAUCAAUUUCAUUUGCUCUAUUUUUCGUUUGAUUUAAUUCUGAUUAUGCUUAUGUUAAAUUGAAAACGUGUGCAGAAAAUCAAGGAUUAAGAGAGUGACUAGAGUUCCAGCGAUAAGCUCUAAGAUGGCUGAUAUUCCACCUGAUGAUUACUCCUGGAGAAAGUAUGGCCAGAAACCCAUCAAAGGUUCUCCUCAUCCAAGGUGUGCAAGUGUUAACUGACUCGCUCCGUUCAUUUCUCGAGCAUAAUCGUUUCACUACAGCAUCCACUAACACCUCCUCCUAAUGACGCCAUUCGGCAUUAAUUGUGUUUGUCUAGUGGGGCUGAUUGAUUUGACUUUUUCACCUGCCGACAUUAUAAUUCGAGUUGACUCAGGGCCUGAGUGUCUGAAUUCUCAUUAGUUUCUUUGGUGUCUCCAUUUUCAGGGGAUAUUACAAGUGUAGUAGCGUGAGAGGCUGUCCAGCACGCAAACACGUGGAACGUGCACUUGACGAUCCAAUGAUGCUGAUUGUCACAUACGAAGGUGAUCACAACCACGCCUUCGCUGUUCAUGAUGCACCUGCUGCUAUGGUCCUCGAGUCAUCUUAGUCAAACCCAUCCAACGGCCAGAAACAACAUUUCCGAAAAGAUGGAAAUUGCGUGGGGGCAGAUCAGGCGAUCAGCACCGUGCUCGGAUGGUCAACGUAGAUACUGCUGGGCUCUGGCGUGUCCACAAGAAUAUUGACAAGUGAGGUUACCUUAGCAUUUAAAAAAGGAGAAAAAAAAAAAAAAAUAUAUAUAUAUAUAUAUAUAUAUAUGGGAUUCCUUUGUCUUUGGUUUCUCUUUUUUCUUGUUGAAGACUUUUGUUUAAAGAGAUUUAAAAAGAAAUAGUAAAAAGUGUAGAAAAUGUGGAUUUUGUGGGAGUUUGAAUCAUGCAAGUAGUAUUUUUUUUCCUUUUUUUUAAAAAAAAUUUUCUUAUUGUUCUUAUACUCAAAUGGAAUUUAGGCUUUUUUAUGAAUUGUAUCUAUGUACGCGAUGGUGGUGGUGGUGGUGGGGAUCUUGUUAGGAUGCUUACUUUAUUUUAUUCCAAUUUCCACUCGAAUAAUAUGCAAUUUUAAAUGAGAAAAAUGGCGCUGCAGUCAAUGGCACCGAAAAAUGUUUAUUAUUUUAGUGGAGGAUGUGUCGUUUAUGCGACGGUUGACCCUUAGAUAUCUUUUUUAAAGGGUUAGGAUACGUUGUAAUCACAUAAUUUAGGUGAUGAUGUAUUAUUUAUUAUUUAUUAUUUUGCUUGUAAUUCAUUCUUUAUCCUUAGAGCAAGGUGGGAUUGCCCUAUUUUAAUUAUGAUAAAUUUUUUAAAAAAAAAUGGUUGAAGAGAAGGACAAGUCUUGGUGGUGGUUUUGUCAAGUUGCAAUUGGUGUAUUUUCCUCGGGUGCUUUGAGAAUAAAGCGAUAUGUUUCCUUUAAGACUUUCCGAUGAAGCAUUUGUGACAGUGACCCCACCAAAAAUAGAGUGCGAAGACACUGCAAAGUCAAAGUGGCUGGUUUGGUUGAUGAUAAUUCGGCCUCCCCCACUAAUUGCUUACUGCUCUCAUGCACUUUAGAAUUAAUUAUGCUUUAAUGAGGAUUAAUCACAUUUACUUGGUUACUGUAUAGCUGGAUUCAUUUCGAAGAAAUUGGUAGUUCCAAAGACUCGCUAGCAAAAUCUAAGAGAAAGAAUUGGAGAUCUAAGUUGUUUGUCUUUCCAUGCUUUAAUCUGCAUCUGCGUGCGCGCGCGUGUAUAUAUAUAUAUGCGGAUAUUUGUAUUUUUCUUAAUGUAAACAUACAUGUUAUUAAAUCGUGCGGUAUAAAAGAAUUAAUUUUUAAUAAAUUAUAAAAUUGUGUAGUUUUAAAAAGUUAAAAAUUAAUUAUUUAAAAUCUCACAGUUUUAAAAUGUGUUCGUAUAAAAAAAAAAUUGAGGACACUCGCAUAAGAGAAGAGAGAUAUAUAUAUAUAAAAGAAAUAGAGUAGAGGAGAAAAUUUGAAGGGUUAAGUGUGAAGGACUGUAGGGCCUUUUGCAAUUUUUAAAAGCCACACUUGCUCGACAACAUGGCACGGCAUCUAUUGUAACUUGAACCUUUGGCCGUAUUUGAGAUGUCUAUUUUUUUAAAAAAAAUUUAAAAUGAAUUAUUGGCUGACCAAGGAACCUGGUGCAAUUUAAAACUGCCAAUACGUUUGUUUUGUUUCACACUGUUAGUAACUUUUUGAAUUAUUAUGUGUACAGUUCAUUGUUAUAUGGAAUCUGUCUUAAUGUAAACACUUAUUUGUUAAGAGUAUUGAUUAUCUUAAAGCUAUUUUAAAAUAGAAUACAAAUUAUAAUUUCAUACGUAAAGUGGUAAAUAAUAAAAAAUAUAUUAUAAUUUUAAUUGUGUAAUUAUAAAAAUAUGUUCUACCUUAGAGCGAUUCCAGCAUAACCAAACACUUGUUAAAUAAUAGUUUGAAAAUCUUUUCAUUUAAAAUCUAUCCUUAUACGAGAAAAGUUACUCUCUUCGACACUUGAACUCGUGCCCUCAAAAUAGGGCUUUAUUGCAUAAAACGAUUCACAUGAUUUGAUGUUUAUAUCACGGUCGAGAACAUGCAUACGGUUGAGUUUUCCAUUGAGAUUCAAAUGUUCCAUUUUAUUAAUUGGUCAAAAGACCCUUGGUCAGUGCUCCUAAAAUCAAUUCUUCCAGUAUGGAGCACCUUCAUUGAUGAUUAAGUUCAUUUGUAUAGGCUUAUUUUCUUAGUCUAAAUUAUUUAUUAUUGUUAAUUAUGAAUCUUAAAUAAAUAUAAUAUUAUUAAAUAAUAUAACAGUAUUAUUUAAAUAAAAAAUAAAUAUGAUAUAUUUUUUUUAAAUCGGACAUAUUAUAUUUCAAUCAAUAGAAUUAUAUUAUAUUUAAUAACGGAAGGAUAAAAAAGGAAGAGGUGAAAGUGGAUUUACACUCUUACCUCCCCCAAUCGGAGUGGGAAUCCCACUCUUCACUUAAAAAAUGAGUGGGAUUCAAGCAGUGAAACACCAACUCAUCUACUUAAAUAAAUAAAUAAAUAUUGUUGUGGGAGGAAUCUAGACUUACUACUCCCACUUUAAUAAGUAAACAUAACAUUAUGUUAUCUCUUUCUUAGGAAAAAAAAAAUUGAAAAGAAAGCAUACUCUAAAUGAUACACAUCUUAUUGUAUAAUUGCCAAGAUUUCAUACUCAAUUACAGCGAUCAUAAGCAUGGGAUUAGCAAUCCAAACAAACAAAAGCACGAGGAGAUUGUUUUUAUAUCGAUAAUAAAGUCUCUUGAGUAACUUAUAAUUUCCUCUUAAGAAAAAAAAAACACUUAUAACUUGUUUUACAUUGCUUUUUAUGGUGCCAAUGAACAACUAACCGUACGCAUAAUUAUCUAAGGACAGAUUAGGUUCGAGCAAUUUUCUGGGUCAUAAGUAGAGUGUUAUAGACUAUUGAUACUUCUCCAAAAUCAUUUUUUAAGCCCUUGCAUAUUUAAAAACCUUUAUCAAAAUUAUACGGAGGACAUAAUAUAUCUAAUUAAACAUGUUUUGAAUACAUUAUAGAAGUGAUUGUUUUACAGGAAAUCUUUAAAUUAUUAUUUUUGCUAAAGAAGAGAAUAUCUUUAUGAUUAUGGGUUGUGAAUAAUAAGAAAGAAAAUUGAAAGAUUGUGAUUGAAUGGGAAAUUAUUUUAAUUAAAGUUUGCCACUGAAAGCGAAAGGGGUUUUUAAAGCGUUAUAAGAAAUAUAUUUUAUUUUAAAAUAUUUGAAUGGGUAAAUAAAGGAAAGUGUUUUCAAAGAUUUAAAUUGGGGUAUUAAUAGUCAAGAGGUAAACUGGGCUAGCAUGGUUUUGAGCCUAGGCCCACAAGUCCGUAUCGUAACUUGGUUUUUCAAGAACAACGAAACCUAAGGGCCGCUUUAAGUUUCAACACCAUGGGUCAAUCUCAUAUCAUUUGGCCCAGGUCCAGUCAAACGCAAAUUCCAGAAAUGGGCCUUCGGAAUGGGAAUUCUAUUAUGUGUUUUCAAUAAGUUAUGAGCUCACAUACUUAUUCUCAUUCCUUUUCUAAAUAAAUAACCAGUUCAAUUAUUGGGAUUCCGGAACGUGAUUUUUUAAUUUUCUAUUUUAAAUUAAGUAGAGCCAAUUACAAUAUGUGCUUUAAUAUUUUAUUUCUAUACUGAAGUAGAUUUGCCCUUUUUUUUAAUUAUUUUUAUAAUCUUUUGAUUAAUAAAAAUCUCAUUUAUUUUGUUCCCAUAUUUUCUUUACCCUCUUUAUCCUUAACCUUUGGAUUUAUCUUUUAACCUUUGAAUUAUAGCCAUAUCUAACCAUCACCAAGUCGGAUUUAUUCGAUGGGGUGAGUCACUGCCCCACAUCAAACUUAAAUUUACAGUCCGCUUCCGCUCCUACUUCGUCAAUUACCCAAUUUAUGUUCCCAUUAAAACAGUACAUUACUUGCAUCUCAAAUUAUACCCAACUGUGAACUCACAUGGCACCGUCCAUACCUAUGGGUCAAAAAGAAUUCCCCCAACAUAACUUGACAGGUGUGACACACAAGAAAAAUUAAAAGAAGAGCUAAAACAUAAAAGCAGCAGACUAGAGAGUGGGACUCACAGGCAGGAGGGGCCCUUACUUGCCUUGCCGGAACACCAAUCGUAAAGAGUAUGCUGGUAACCGUACACAUUAAAGAUUUAGAUAUUAAGAGCUGAUACUUCUUUCAAUUGUUUUUUUUUCGCCCACUCCCUUUCCCUUCACGUGAUUCUGACUGAGUAUGCAGUCCCAGCCAGCUGCUUCUUAUCAGCUCUUACAAUGACGUUACAUGCUUUGUCACUUAACUGAAACCUUCCACCACCGUCUCUCCCCUUUCUCUCAAGUCUCUGUCCUGUCAAGGGAAUGAAAUGGACCUGUAAUAGUUACUUUUUACGGCGAAAGGUCAAAUAAACUGAGGAGAGGAAGAAGAGUGCCCCUGUUUCCUGUUUCAGUUUUCAUCACACUAACCAAACACCAUGUCCAUUAGAAGAAAACCCCUUCUUCCACAGUUGUUAUUUUUCCUAUCAAAUACUUUUCUGUUGAUUACAUCUUGUUCUGCUUCUCGUUCUGCAUCUGCAGUGAACUCACUGCUGCCGUCUGAUGCACAAGCGCUACUGGCAUUCAAAGCAAAAGCCGAUUUGAGAAACCACCUCUUGUUUUCACAAAACAAAAGCUUGCAUUUUUGUCAAUGGCAAGGUGUCAUAUGUUACCAACAAAAAGUGGUGCGAGUAGUUCUCCAAGGCCUGGAUCUUGGCGGCAUUUUUGCUCCCAACUCAUUGACUAAACUUGACCAGCUCCGAGUCCUGAGUCUACAGAACAACUCACUCACCGGACCCGUUCCCGACCUCUCGGGCGUCGUUAAUCUCAAAUCUCUCUUUCUUGAUCACAACUUCUUUACAGGUUCUUUCCCUCCUUCACUCUUCUCUCUUCAUCGACUUAAGACCUUGGAUUUAUCUUAUAACAAUCUGUCGGGACCAUUGCCAAAAGAAUUAGCUUCACAAGGCCGGUUAUACUCUCUGCGUCUUGAUGUGAACCGGUUUAACGGUUCGAUUCCUCCAUUGAACCAAUCCUCUCUCAAAAUAUUCAACGUUUCUGGUAACAACUUCACUGGCGCCAUACCGGUGACAUCCACGCUGUCACGUUUUGGUAUCUCCUCUUUUCUUUUUAACCCUAGCUUAUGUGGCGAGAUUAUUCACAAAGAAUGCAACCCCAGGCCGCCCUUUUUUGGGCCAUCAGCGACGGCUGCAGCUGCUCCACCGCCAGUGACUGUUCUUGGGCAACAGAGCGCACAGAUGCAUGGUGUUGAGUUGACUCAACCGAGCCCUAGGAGCCACAAAAAAACUGCAGUCAUCAUCGGUUUCUCAUCUGGAGUCCUUGUUUUGAUAUGUUCACUUGUUUUGUUUGCAAUGGCUGUGAAGAAACAGAAACAGAGGAAAGAUAAAAAAUCAAAGGCUAUGAUUGCAUCGGAUGAAGCGGCGGCAACGGCUCAAGCUUUAGCCAUGAUUCAAAUAGAGCAAGAGAAUGAGUUGCAGGAGAAGGUGAAGAGAGCACAAGGGAUCCAAGUGGCCAAGAGUGGAAACUUAGUAUUCUGUGCGGGUGAGGCACAGCUGUAUACGCUGGACCAGCUGAUGAGGGCUUCUGCUGAGUUGCUUGGGAAAGGGUCUCUGGGGACCACGUACAAGGCAGUGUUGGACAACCGUCUGAUUGUUUGUGUGAAGCGGCUUGAUGCAAGCAAAUUAGCAGGCACAAGCAAUGAAAUGUACGAGCAGCAUAUGGAAUCAGUUGGUGGACUCAGGCAUCCAAAUCUUGUGCCACUCAGAGCUUAUUUUCAGGCCAAGGAGGAGAGACUCCUUAUCUAUGAUUAUCAGCCCAAUGGCAGUCUCUUCUCGCUCAUACACGGUAAGUUCCUUUGCUCUUGAUUUUUUUUUUUUUUUUUUUCAUGUGUGGUGUGGUGCAAUUACUCAGUGAGUGAGCCCAUUAGGUGAUUGGACUCGAUCUUGACUCGGUUUGACCGCGGUGACCCCUAGAAUAUGUAGCCACGUAGGAUUUUAAUUUGCAAUCGAAAUUAUUAUUAUUAUUCUAAUUUGGGGUUGUUUAUUAAAUAUAUUAUACAAGUGAAAGUGAUCCUUAAGAAAAGCAUAAUUACGUGCCUGAUCAGUUUGGCAUCGGUUAUAUCAUAGAUUUUCACGAGCAGCGAGAAUCUUGCUGCUGAUUGACAUUGGGAAUUGAAAUGAUUUAUUGCGUUCAAUUAUUUUAAUCAACAGUGGAAAGUACUCUACUCUUUUUACCUAACCAAAAUGCAGCGGCGCUGGGGAGAAAAUUCAAAAAUCAAACCUGAAUUCAAGUGGAGAGUAACGUAGUAGUUUUGCAAUUAUUAGUGUAGUGGGUCCCACGUGGAUUGCCUGCGGACUCGGUCAAUUCGUAUUCUUUAUCCGAUGGUGAAUCGAAAAAUCCAACGCACCAUCUCUCUAGAUGAACUAAAUAAUAUUACGCGCAGGGAUGCGCGCAUGAACACACACACUUUUGUUGCUUUGUCCCAUUAUGGAGGCAGAAUCUCUAUUGAGUUAAUAAUAAUGAUAUGAUUACGUCCGAAAUGGCCAAUUGCAGGUUCAAAAUCAACAAGAGCAAAGCCACUACACUGGACUUCAUGCUUGAAAAUAGCGGAGGACGUGGCACAAGGCCUCUCUUAUAUUCACCAAGCAUGGAGACUCGUCCAUGGCAAUCUCAAGUCCUCUAAUGUGCUCCUUGGCCCUGAUUUCGAGGCAUGUCUCGCUGACUAUUGCCUCACUGCCCUCACGGCCGAUUCAUUGCAGGAUGAUGACCCUGAUAACUUGUUGUACAAAGCACCCGAGACUCGCAAUGCAAGUCACCAAGCAACCUCAAAAUCUGACGUCUAUUCAUUUGGAGUAUUGUUGCUGGAGCUUUUAACUGGAAAGCCUCCAUCACAGCACUCAUUUUUGGUGCCUAAUGAAAUGAUGAAUUGGGUUAGAUCCGCCAGGGAAGAUGAUGGCGCCGAAGAUGAGAGAUUAGGUAUGCUUCUUGAGGUGGCGAUUGCUUGUAAUUCGGCCUCGCCAGAACAAAGGCCCACUAUGUGGCAAGUAUUGAAGAUGUUACAGGAGAUUAAAGGAGCUGUAUUAAUGGAGGUUGGUGAAUUGGACCCACUCUCUGGGAUCUCGUAGUUAUAUCGUUGUUGUAGUAACAUUUGUUCUUAGGCAAAUCAGCAAAUAUAUAGUGUCCGUAGCUAGAUGAAUGGAAUUUACCCAACUAUUUAGUUACUUUUUCUUUUAACAUUAACUACUUGGUUCUUUUUCCUUUUUUUUUUUUUUUCUUAAAAUUAAUUCCUCGUCUCGGUUUACCACAUUGUUAUGGUGGGUUCGUAGUUUUGGAUAAUCUCUUCCUAACAAAAUUUUCAUCGAAGAAGAGUUUUCUAAUCACAAAUUUUCCUAAAAUAAAGGAAUUACUAACAAAUAAUAAACUACAAACCCUCCUAAAAUCAAUAUACAAAUCCGUUUAAAAAGAUGGGGUCUUGCACUCAAUUUAGCUUGAAUGGUGUUUACAGAUGCUCUAAGAUAGCCAAAUCUUAAAGGAUGAACCUAAAUUUCCUAAAAAAGUUUACUCCUUAUUGCACUUGUAUUAUUGAAUUGGAAGCCGUGAUAGAACCAUUUGUAAAUUAAUAUUAGUGAGGUCCAUCUAUGUUGUUGGAUAUGUUCUAAUUAACUUGGAGCAUCUCUAUCAUAAGAAAUCUCGUUUUUUUGCCAAAUUUUAAUAAUUUGCCGUUGAUUGCAUCAUCUUUUAAUUUUUACUUUUUAGCAUUUUUUUAAUAUACAAUACAAUUUUCAAAAAGUUACAUCAGCCAAUAGAAAUACGUAAUCAAAGCUCAACAUACAUAAGAACAAAGACAUACGAAGCCGAGCACCCAAAAAAAAAAAAAAAAACUCAACUGUUUAGUAGAUUCGGACACUCAAGCCCUCCAUUUUAAAAUAAAAGGGAAGAAGUGCCAACUUGCAUGUUAAUAAUUUUAGUUUGACAAUAGAUAUAUAAUUGGAGUAAGAGUGGGAAUCGGGUUUAACAAGAAGAAAGAUAGGUCUUUGUAUCGAAUAUAUUAAAGGACUGUAAAAAUGAGAGCCCACAGAGUGUCUUGAAACCCAAAAUUAAAAAGAGGCCCGCCUCGUGAGAAAUUCGAACCCGAAUUCGGCAAUGAAUCCAAGUAACGUACAUUGGACAUCAUCAUUGACAUACAAGUGGAAAAAGAGAGAGUGGUGCGCUGUUGCAGAAUUUUGCUGGAAUCAUCAUCUAGCACAGAUAACACAAAAAUAAACAUAUAAAUAUCUCAGGGUAUUCCUGCAGGUAAUUUGAUGAUUGAGCUGGAGAAGGUUAUAAGAUGAGAGAUGACAUGGAUCUUCGUUCUGACACCGACAUAAUGGAAACUGACUCCGCCUCUGCCGCCGCCACAGCCACGGCCGCCGAAACGCAGCAGCAUCUGCGGCAAGGCCAAGACGUCGACCUAAGAGAGCUGCUCGCGUUGGCUCGCCAGCUCAUCAAUCAAGGCAGGCCUUCUCAGGCUCUCCAGGCGGUAAUAAAUCAUUUUUUUGUUUUAAAUUUUCUUUGUAAAAAAAAAAAAAAAACUGUUACGAUUGUCAGUCAAUAUGACUUGACGUCCACAACAUUGAUUCCUGAUUUUCUUUUACAACAUCUUUCGCGUAUUAAGGAAUAGGGAUGUAUUCAUAUUCAAAAUAAUGAAUGUGGUAUGGCCACUUUAGCCAGUGGAUUUUAUUUUAUUAUUUAAUUAAUGGUCGAAACAGGUGGUGAUGGCGAUGAGAACCAGAGGUGGGGAGGAAGCUGUAUUUCGAUCACUGCACCGUGCGCGCGAAUUGUACAGAAAUAGAAUGCAAGAGAACACUGCCAUGGAUCAGCUGGCUGCUUUAUUUGCUGAAUGUGCCAUUGCUGAAGCCCAGCCCCUGGCUGUUGAACCAUCACCAUGCGAAAUAGCUAGUUCAUCAACUGUACCGGAUGCUGAUGGCUCUUCUAUACUUGCAGAAACUGGAAGAACGCAGAUUGUGCUGGAUGCAUUCUCAGAUGGAAGCAGCUUUGUAUGUUUACAGUGUGGGGGUCUUGUUAGUAAUCAUCGAAAAGAGGAGCACUAUGCAUAUUGGUGUUGCAAACUCUGAUUCGGAGGUAUAUGGCAUUAAUAUUUUUGCUCUUUCUUCACCUCGAUGCACCUACUAAGCUAUUGCCCUACUUGAAUUGCAAUUGACUGCAUUAUGUGAGUAUACACUAAUGUCAAUUAUCCUGGCUCUGGUCGCUGACUGGCAAUCCGGUGCCACUUCUAGGAUAUGUUUAGAGGUCAUGCUUCCGUCUGCAGAGGAGUCUAUAUUGAAACCAUGUUCCCCUUUAAGUGUAGUGUCGAAUCUCUACUCUUGCAGUGAUUAAAUUGCAUCAUCAUUGUAGAUAAAUGCAAGUAAAAAUUACCAUCAAGCGGUUUUUAAAGCUCUGAACUAUAAUAGUAUAUUACUAUAUCUAUACUUUGUAAUAUAAGAUUUUGAGGAUGGCGUGCUUUUAUUCCUGGAGGUCUUCCGUCUUUUACGGCCCCAAAACCCAACACCACCUGCUCGGCUGCAUUCACUGAUAUUCAGCUAUCUAGUACAUUAAUUACUUCAAGACUGCGCGUUCAGAGUUCGCUAAUUUGAUUAUAUCCCUCCCUUGUGUCUUAAUUACUAGAUAUUCAGCUAUCUAGUACAUUAAUUACUUCAAGACUGCGCAUUCAGAGUUCGCUAAUUUGAUUAUAUCACUCCCUUGUGUCUUUCUCUCUCUUCGUCAUGCAAUAGUGUUUUGGACAUGAGCAAUGAAAUCUAGCUCAUAUGCUGCUGAAAAAGAAACGAGGAAGUGCAAGAAUAAAUCAAGCAUGAGUCAUCAGUUAUGACGGGAUGGAAUAGUUGGUGCCCUGUGGCCGGUAAUUUGUCUGUGGACUUGUUGAUGCUUUUGAAACUUGAAUGCUUUUUCGUGGAUUGUUGGGUGCAUUAUUGAUUGGAUUCGAUCAUCUUGAGAGAAAAAAUAGACUUUUUCUCCCUGAUUUUAAUUGAUGGGAGUGGAAGAGUAGAAGGAAGAGAUUAGAUAACUCCAUUUUGUAGAGAAUUAAUGCAAUUGGAUGUUACUAUAAAUGUCUUCAUAUUCAGCGUAAUGUUUCCCUCCCCAUACCUUAGACCAUCUGCGGGUUGUUUUGAAAACUCGGACAAUGACAUAUGGAGAAUUCAUUAAUGGUGUGUUUAGUUGAGGGUUUAGGGAAUGGAAAUGAAAUUCAUGUUUACUUGUUAAAAUGUAAUUUGGGAACGAGAAUAAAAUGUGUGAGUCUCAUAUAAUUUGAGAAUAAAGAAUUCUAUUCCCAUGGAGGGUUGGGAAUAAGGAUUCUUAUUUCCUGAAUUGAUUUUUGUAUUCGUUUAAUUUUUUCAUAUUUUUUGAAUUAUUCUCGUUCAAAUCACAAUUAAUUUUAUUAUUUUAAAUGUCGUUAUUAUUAUUAUUAUUAAAAAUUAUUAUUAAUUUUAUUAUUUUAGUUAUUAUUAAUUAUUUUUAUUAAUAUUAUCAUUAUUAACAUUUAUUAUUAUUAAUUUUAUUUUUAUAAUAAUAUUUAUACAUGUAUCUAGUUAAUGAAAAUUACAUUAUUUAAUACUAUAAAUAUUUUGGUAAAUUAAUUCUCAUUUAUAUUCUUUAUUUUUAUUUAUUUUGUCAAGUAAACACAUUAAUGACAUUCCAUUAUAUUUUUAUUCUCAUUUAUUUUUGUCAAGUAAAUAUUAAAAUCUCAUUUUCAUUUCUAUUUCCAUUCCUCAUUCCCUAUUUUUAUUCUCAGUCCAUUCUUAUUUCACCUCAUUCGCAGAAGUAAAGAAUAAUACAUCCUUUAUAUGGGUAGUGAUAUUAAUUUCAGUAGUCAGUUAUCCCAGAAGAUCAUGAUGCUAGGAAGAAUUCCCCAAAACCUAUCAGAGCUACAGUGGAAAAAGGUCUAAAUGACCAUUUCUGUAUAUUUGUACAUUCGUUCAAAGAAAACAGAAAAAGUAAAUGGAGGAGUGAAGACUAGUGCGUUCCAGCUGGAAAUGAUUUAAGCGUCGUAGGAGCAAGACUCCUUGAGGUACAACCUGUACAGUAUGUGAGUUGGUAAUUUGCGGUAGAAGAUGGAAUCGUCAAGGUUGACUCACGGUAUAAACUAAAAUACAGCUUAUUUAUUAAGGUGGUCGAAAAUUUAGUCAAUUCUUUUUCAUAAGUGUUAGUACCACUUGGCCCGUGCCCUUGGUCAGCUUGGUAUCAAAUAUACAACACUUGUUUGUUAUUACAAAUAUCUGGUAAAAUAUUGAUUUUGAGUUUUCACAAAGUACAUUUGUAAGAUAAGUGCAUUUGUAAGGACUAAUGUCUCAAGGGAUGACAAAAAUAUAAUAACAUCGUUAUGCUGGGAAGUGGAAAUGGAAUGAAAUGGCGAAUAUUGAGAAAAGAAUUUUCUUUCACUAUAAUGAGAUAGUAGUUGCUACCGACAAAAUCAAUAUUGCGCUUACACUCAAUAAAACCCAAAAUUAAUUGGACUGAAUACUAUUUCACCAAAAAAAAAAAGAUAUAUCAGACUAGACUGGACCUUCGUACAGAUGUCUGUGCGCUUGGGUAUCUUUCAUCCCUCAAAAAAGUAUUGUUAUUUGAUAGAAACUGCGAGUGUCACUUCUUCACCACCCGUGUAAUCUCAUAUAUCCAGCACCUUCUGGCAAAUUUGCGGUGAACCACCAACGACAAGAACACUACUAUACACAAUGUACUCCUAUUGCAUUAAUCACAGCCAAAAUUUCCAAUCUUCAUAAACCUAACUUUUCCAUCCGAGCUCCUUGAAGCUCUUCACUCUGUAUCCAUCAAGAGAAAGUGUAAGAUUCUGUUGUAUGUAAGCUAUGAGCAAUAUCAAGGCCAACCAGAUAUCAUGCCUGACGUCCCAACCAUAAUAUUUUUCAUGUAGUACUUGACAUCUGAAAUUAUAUUUUGUUUCUGACUAUCUUUUCAAAACAUUCUGCAACUAUCUUGACAUGAGUGAAGAAGUUUGCUCAUAGCCAUCGUAUCGACAUGUAAUAUUACCAGAACAAAUAGAAUUUAGCCCGAUACUUUUUGGUCAUAGGUGAAGAUAACAAUGUGAUAAAUACUAGCCCCAAUGAUGUAGACUACAUUAAGUAUAUGACUGGAAAUAGAUGUAAAGAAUACAUUACCUGCACUCCUUUUGUGGCUCGUCUGUGCACCAUGGGUUGUGAUCAUACUCGUGCAGAGAUUAGUAUAGGUAUAGCAAGAUUAAGCUUGUGACCAGGACCACAGAAUAUCACCCUGCAUGUGGCAGGGCCCGUGGACGAGGCUUUGCCCUCACAAUUGUUUCAUCACUGUGACGGAUCCAUUCUGAGAGUCUCCAUGGCUUUUGCCACUUCCAUUUAAAUUGCAAAAGCCAUUGGUGGUGACUUCUCUUCCAUCUCCAUAAUUUUCCACCCUGUCCUAGGGCUGCUAAUUUUUUCAUUGACAACUGCCCAAGGGGUACCCUCUGAGCUAACACAAAACCUGCUUAUGUCAGCCUAAGUAGGAAGGUGGAUAUCAAUCUAAUAAUAAAGGAUGGAAAAGGACUUUAACCUUUCUGUUUUGAUUUAUAAAUGCUGCUGACUCUCUUAUUGAGCCAUUGGCAAUGCCCGGUGUAUAUUUCAGUUGCUUCUGUGCCGGGACAGACAUUGGGGAGGGAGGACCACUCGUAUCAUCAGCAAAGUGUUCAAGUGAAUUGUGCAAGUUCCCCUGUCCAUGGCCAGGAAUGAAGAGUUAGAUGCACAAUAAUAAAAGUUUAGCAACACAAACUCUAGAAUGCUGAACACACUUCCAUCCAAUAUGAAGAAAACCAUUAAAAUGAACACAAUUUCUUGGCAAACCUAUAGACAGGCCUCAAAAGUCCUAGAAUUUUGUCAAAAAUCAUCUCAAUGUGUGCUUUCCGAUAGAGUAGUCUUCAUUUGUACACUGAUAAAGUUCUAAAAGUUUUUAUAUGAUGCAUAAGAACAAAACUCAAGUGACGUCUAAUCUCACCGAAGCCGAUCUAGCCAGUGUGAUUGCAACAGCCUGUUCUCUCAAUUUUAGCUCCUCCUCCACUUCCUUUCUUCUUACCUCACUCUGUCGCAACAGACCAACAAGUUCUUUUAGUUGCUCUUUCAUUUCCUUGAUCUCUAUAUCUUUCUCCCACAGUUGACACCUGUUGCAAAUGCACAAGGGGCUAUUUAGAAUUGACCUCUAAUCACAGAAUUCAAAUAAGAGUAUGUACAUGUUCUGUGAAAUCUUUAUGGUUUAAGCAUAUAGAUCAAUGGCCCCCUGAUUAAAGGAAUUCUUUUAAUAAAUUCCAUUUAAUGUAUCCUUAACCAGAUCUACCGUUAGAGAUGCAUAUCACUCUCUGGAAUUCCAAUCAAUUUUGAGAACGGUUAAUCUAGUAGAUUUGUAUAAAUCAUGGAACUAAAGGUAUCAAUAUCCAAAAAAAGUCUGAAACUGAAAAAAGAUAAAAUAAAAUAAUUUGGGUUAUAUUUAUUUAAUAGAAAGCACCUUGCAUCUGCUAGAGAAUUGAACAUGUAUUGAAGCAAGUUCUUAGCAUCAGCCAUUGAACGCAACUGAUUCCAACGUCCACGGUUAGUGAAGAGACGGUCCCGCUCUUCUGCCUCUGAAAGUUGUGAAGCCAUUGCUACAAGUGAAUUAGAUGAUAUGCUCAGCAUAUUCUCAAGUGAAGAUAUUCGGGCCAUUCUUGCAUUUGGUGACAUAGAGGACACUCUGAACAAGCAAUUAAAUCAUGUUAACACGUCAAGCCAUUCUUCAUCAUUCCCAGACCAUCAAAAUGGAAAUAAUUUGGGGUGAAUAAAUAACUUUCACAACUUAUACCUAGCAAAUCCAUUCUUUCCCCUCGGAGGACUGAGUCCCUUUGAAGCAAACUCAUCCACUUGCUUCAGCACUGCCAACUCUUCCGCCAGUGCAGCUCGUCUGCAGAUUAUUUGUGUUAGCAUAAAGAAAAACGUUUUAAUUCAUAUUGGAAACAAAUAUAAAUAAUGAACCUACACUUGGCUCUGCUUCUCAUAUUCAAAACGAACUUCAUGCACAUUCACCAUGACCUCUAGCUCAUGGUCAAGCCACCGUUGAAAGGAUUUCUCAUUGCUCUACAUGUAUCAAUUAAUUCAAAAGUAUUAAUGAGAAUUAUACACAUUUAUUAAAAAUAAAACUUAUCAGUAAAAGAGAAAGCAAAGAUCAUUACCUGCCCAUUUGUUAAAUUUCCAUUUGUGACAGCUGGAAGAUAGCAUGAAAUUAGAUAAAUUGAGUAUAAAAGCAGAGGCCCAUGGUCUAAAAAUGCCAUGUAUCUGGUAAACAAAUAGCCCCUCCAGUAUAGUAACCAUUGAUCAAGUAUGUGAUGAAGAGUGAUGGAUUUUCUAAUCUUUAUAUAAGAGGUGCUGUAUGUUUACCUGAGACAAGGGCUUUCUAGUCAUCAGCCAUAAAAGGGUAAAACUGAAAGUGAAAAGUUUACCUGAAUUCUCACGGGCAGAAGAUUUACGUGAUUCCAACAACUCUUUUAGCCUCUUGGUGGCCAUUGCAGCCUCUUCAGUCUUUCUCUGAAGAACCUGCAUGAAAGAAAUUUGUUCCAGUUAACAGUUUAUUUCUAAUACGUAUAAAUCACGGAGACUUAUGAAGCCUUUUCUACCUAAGCAAUGGACUAGACUAAUAAUUUUAUUUUAUUUUUUAUUUUUUGAACAGAGUAAUACUUGAAAUGGACUCAACUAGAAUGGGUUCCACUUUUUCUUUCUUGAGGUCAAUUCGUUCCUUAUUAGAUUAUUUUGAAAUAUCAACUCAGGAAUUAGAACAUACUGAAUUUCAAUUAUAAUAUUUUGGGCAAUUCGGCAUUUAAAGCGAAACUUCCAUAAUAGGUUCUUAACUUGUCAAAGUGAAACAGCCUUAAAUAUGAUAGCAGUAACUGAACAUGCCAAAAAGUCGGAAACAUAGCAAACAGGGUUUGAGGGAGACAAACCCAUGAUAAGAAUCUAGCUGAUAAAACAAAUUUGAAGAAGCAGCAAACAUAUAUAAUGAAAAUUGGAAUUGAGGCCAGAUAGUUUGCUUUCUUAGACUUUUUGCUAUUAUCUGCUGUUUUCACCACAUUAUGAGGGCAAAGUCAGGAUGGAAAUCUUAAGAGGCAAAUAAAUUGCUACAUUCAGUGGUACAUUCUUCUUGGAAAUAUUAUUGAGAUAGAUUCAUAACAUAAGCAAGCAGGAAAGAUUUGCUCACCAAUUUCUGGCGUUGGUUCAAAGCUUGCAGCUUAUGCCUUUCAUACUCAUUUCUUCUUCCCUCCUUACGUAACUGCUUUCAUCGAUAUGUGAAUAAAUAAGUUAACAUACAUACAUACAUGCAGACAAUAUCUUCAUAAAGUUUACAGAUCUGAAGCAUACUCUAUACAUACUUUGUUUAAUUGUUUUGUUUGCGUUACCUUAUUCAAAUAUCUAAAGUAUAACUAAUCCGUAGGUUCUCUUAUUUAACCUCCUAAAAAAAAAGGUUCUCCUUCAGGAUGAAUAAAAAAAUAUAAAACAGCUUUGGCAAUUAGUAAAUUUGACUACACAUUAUCAUAUGACUUUAUGCAGGGGUGAAUCCAAGCUUGCUCAGCUUGCUGAAUCUUUUAAUUCAAAUUAUUUAUUGGCAGUCAUAACCAGCUGCUAGAAUUCUUAAAAACAAAUUUAUAAUACUGAGUACUGCCACCGGGAGUUUAGGGUUUAAAGGAACAAAAGUGCAUGCAACAAAAUUGCAACUACAUAACAUUGUGCAAAGAUGAGAAUGAGUUUUGUAGUUUGCAGGCUUAACUACCUAAAGUAGAAUUUCAACAGUAUUGUCAGAAAGACCAAACCACGCCCCUUAAAGUUACAAACAAGUAGUAACAAAGAUACAAACGAAAAAUGUGUUCUGUAUAAAAAGAGAAUUCAAUGGAUCCCAACUAUUCCUGCUCCACCCAAUAAUCUUCCCUUACAUAAAAUCGAAUGGACAUAUAUCAUUUACCGGAAUGAGCAUAAAAGAUAAUGAUACUGCAUGUCUUUUCCAAAUUAUUUGUUUCACAGAACAAGUAAAGCACCUGCAAAAGUUCCUUCUCUCGAGAAGCCUUCCACUGUCGGAAUUGUUCAGCUUCUUGUUUUAUCCUAUGUUGCAAUUGAACCUACACAAAGAUGCAAGGGAACAAGAAGAAGAAAAUCAGCAGUGGACAGAGUAGAGACAACAAAAAAGGACUGAAAAUAACACGAUGCAUUAAAAGCCAAAGUGACAGUUAACCUUUUGAGCCUUUAUAAAUUGAAUUUCAUCUUGCAACCGCUUUGCUGCUUCAUCACUCUUUUGUUUCUGCUUUAAAAGUUGAACCUGGCUCUCCUGUUUUUUCUUGAGAUCCAGAAUCUGUUGUGCAUAGAUUAUGAAGACUGUUUACUACUUGAAUUAAGUUGUGAUAUUUAUAUGGAAUUGUGACAAAAGCCAGCAUUACCUGUGCCUCAAGUGAUUUUAAUUUAUGGGCAUGUACAUCUUGCAAUUUUUGUGUUUGCCCAUCAGAAUUUGAGGCAAGAUUUUCAAUUUCAGUCAGCAAAUGAUCUCUUUCUUUCUGCAGCAAUAAAACAGGUGUGCAGAUGAGUCAUCUGUUAUUUCAAGGAGUGUGAAAAUUGAAGAACAGUUCAAUAAACUUCUUUUUGACCUGCACAGUUCGUUUUUCAUCCUCUAGUUCUGCUAUUUUCUUCCCAAAAUGUUGCUUGAGUGCUGCAGUGUCAGAGCCACCAACAAGUUUCAUCUCUGACUGCACAGACAUUAUAUGUAAAUUAUGAAGGGUGCUGAUGACUUCUUUGUCCAAAUGAUUUGCAAAAGUUGAAGAUAUACAGAAGAAAUGUCAGAAUGUAGAAGAAAAUUACUCCAGAAUCAUGAACCAGCCAACAGUUCUUAAGAUUUUUCUUUAAACAGAGGUAAAAUUCCAGGAAAAAAAAUGAAAAUAAAAAAAGAAAAAAAGAAAAAUCAUCAAAUAUUUUUUCAUGGGAAUCCAAACUGGGCCAGACUAUCUUCCAGAUGAUUGAGGAAGGAUGAGAUUAAAUGGAAGUACAUUACCCUUAUUAUCUCAUGCUAUGCUAUGUAAGAAGUUUAUGAAGUAAGAAUACACAGUUCCCAAAAUUGCCAAAUACUAGGAAUAAAAACAUAAAAAAUAUAUAUUCUGAUGAAAAGUACCUCUUUCUCCUCCAAACGCCUGUUCAAUUCAUUCAACUCUUUGUCCAUAGAAUUCUGUAGAAGUGUGUGCUCCCACUCCUUUGCGACUUCAUCAAUUUCUCUGGAAUCACCUGCCAAAAUUGACAUUGUAUUCUCAAUGUCAUAGAUCCAUUGAAAGGAAACUUGAAUUCACAAUAUCUGAAAGAGAAACUGAUUCAAUCCAAUAGAUGAAAGAACAAGUAGAAGACUGGAAGUCAUUUUGAAGCUUACCCAGUUUACCAAUGAUUACAGACAUUUUACCUAAUUACUAUAUCAGAGAAGUUUCAUACCUGUUAUAUUUUCACCCAUUUGAUAAUCAGUUUGCUCAAUACUAUUCAAGCUCCUUUUAAGCCCAUCACUUUUCAGAGGACAAGGACUACCAUCCUGAAAGAUGAAGUAUCAAUUUCACACGUAUAGUGAAUCAUCCAUUGAUCAAGCCUAACUGUAAUAAUAAUCAUGACUAAAGAAUUAUAGUCAACUCUCCCAUGUCCUUUUUUUUUUUUUUUUUGUGGGAGGGCAACACAAAAGAUAAAAUCUCCCAUCUUUUAACAAAAGGAGAAAAGAACUAAUGGAAGAGUUCCAAAAGACAGAAGACAUGUUCACAUACUUGAGCGUCUGUUUCACGCUGCUCUACAUCAGUGCAUCUGCUGCGGUAUUCAUGGAGUUCACGGCAAAGAUCUUCAUUAGCAGCUUCAAGCCAAGCAAUCCUUUCCUUGAGAACCUAGGCAAAUGAUUAAUGAGAUAACUUAUGAAAUCGAUUAAGAUACAACUAUCUCCAUAAACGAAAUUGAUAAUUAUUUUGUUCGUUCAAACCAAACUAUCCUUUACAUAGAGAACCUCAUAAGUUUUACCAUAGCGUAAAGUAAUUAAUCCAGUAUAAUUUUUCUAUAUAAGAAGAUGUGAGAAUAAAAAUAUUGAAAAAUUCUUAUGAUCAACAGAAUAUCCAAGGUAAAAAUUUAGAACCCAGAUACCUGUACUUCAUCAGACGAAGAUCCUCCACCACGGGCGCAAAGUUCUGCCUGCAAAAACUCUAGUUGUUGACGCAUCUUCAGCAUCUCAGUGGACAUGGGAUCUCUGUUGACCUAUUUAAGACAAUUCAAAACCAGAAAUAAAAAAAAUCAUAAAUGCAUGAAAAAAAUUGUGCCUUUACACAAGUGUAAAGAGAAUGAAAUCAACAAUUUUCUGUUGAACUUACAACAGGCUUAUUUUGUAUAUUUCGAGCACGAUUUGCAUAUUUUAGAGUGUUGAGGGUUUCCUCAGCAUUAAUAUCAGCAGGACUAAUGCAGGCUGUAGAAGGUAAAAUUGUAUUGAUAUAAGAAAUAACAUUAAGAUCACCAAUCAAAUGUCAGAGAUUGCCAAUGAAAAACCAGGGUAAGAAGGAACUAGAAUAUAUGAUUAAAGAUAAAGGAUUUACAGAGAUCAAACUUGAGGAUAAAUAAGUUACCUAUCAUAACAGUUCGGCUGUUACCACCAAGUGAAUCCUGCCAAAAUACCUGAACUUAGUCUAAAUAUAUAAAUAGAAAAGGAUGAAAAUAUUUAUAAUAAAAAACACAAUAACAAUUAAGAAAAAUAUCAUCAUAGACUCUCCUAAAGAGUUUCUGAAAAUCACAUCUCAUUUCAACCCAUUAUUUCCACAAUCAACUGGCCGGCUAAUACCAGAUUACGUAUGAAAUGCUUAGGGAGAAAAAUUCCUAUCAAUAGUUCAAUCUUUCUGGACCAUACUUCUUUAUACUAUCAAACUAGACUAGAUAAUUUACCCCUUGCAUCAGACGCAUCAAGUUACCUGCAAAAGCCUAGUAAGUUUACUGUCCCGAUAAGGCACAUGUACGCCUUCUUUGCGCUUUUUAUCAUCACCAAGAGCGCUGAUAACGUUACCAAGUGCAAGAAGGCCCCUGUUAAUAUGAACUCCUGUUUAAAUGUAAAUGCUCUGUUAUCAUGUUUUGACCAAAAGCACAGUAUGAUUCUACUUAUGAGAAAUCUCCACCAACCUUCCUUGAAACGCAAACCAUCAGAACCAGUUCUUUUGGCCCUCUCUGAUCCAGCAAGAUCUACCAAAUGCAACUUGGCACAUAGAUAUUCUUCAUUCAUACUCUCAUUAGGACUGCUGUCUCCCAGAGAAACUGGACUAAGCUUACGCAUUUGCUCUAGGGUGAUGGUGAAGAUGGCAUGUGAACGACUGUAUGAACACAUACCAAAAAUAUACACAUGUUAACAAAUCUGAUAAUACCUCUCAAAAAAUUAAAAAAUCUGAUAGCUACUGUAGAUUUUACAGUCAUUAUAGAGAUGCAAUGUUUUUCAAACCAGCAUGUUACACAAAUACAAUAUUCAAAAGGUUUAUUUGGGAAACUUUUUUUUUUAUGGAGAGAAAUCUUUGUAUGAUCCCAGUAUGUCCAAAAAUACUGAACUAAUAUUUGGAAAGGUACAUGACAAAUUUGGAAAGAUAAAGAUCUUUUUCCAUAUGAUGGAAGGAUAUUGUCAAAUAGCAGUUAUAGAUGAAAUUACCGAAACUUAAAUGUAACUAAUCAAAACAGAGUAGUAAAGAUUUACCUUGAUUGAUUGUUCAUGUUUGUACUCCCAGUUGCCCUGCUCAAUGAUCCUUGCUCUAAACAGGCCGCCAUUUCUUUUAGUGAGCUAACACUAACUUCAGUGGAUCCAGCCAACGUAAUAACACCAUUUGAUGUUUCUCGGAUUUGUAUUGGAGGUUUCCCGGGUACAGUUACUUUUCCUGUGUGUCCAUUUGCAGUAUCUGGUUUGUUCAAACAAGGGGGAUCUAGCAAAUCCCGUACCUCUUCUUUUAGAAUCUUUUGACAACACAGGAUUUUUUGGUUAGAUAUUUACCACAACAAUGCAUUAUACUAGAAACAUAUAAUAUUUUAGAAAAUACCCAAUUAUGUAAACAACUCUUCAAACCAUGACUUCAGCAGUACAUAGUUUGAUAGGGAAAUUCAGCUCAACAAAGAUCGAAAGUUUCAUUCAGUAAAACAGGAUGCCAAAAAAAUAUAUGGUAGCUAGAGAUUAGAAUUACUGUGACUAUGUUGCAUAACUGAACAGAAUGCACACAACAAGGAAUCUCAAAUUGAAAUAGUUGAGAAAAUGAUUUAAAACAAAGAAGCUACAUGAUGAAUAUAAUAGACAUCUUUAUCUCAUAUCUGGUUUGUUCAAACAAGUGGGUGUAGCAAAUCUCGUAAUUCUUCUUUUAGGAUCUCUGACACAGGAUUUUAGUUAGAUAUUUAUCACAAUAAUGCAUUAUAUUGGAAACACAUAAUAUUUCAGAAAAUACCCGAUUGUGACAAAAAUUCUUCAAACCGGAGCUUCAGUGGUACAUUGUUUGAUAGGGAAACUCAACUCAACAAAGAUUGAAAGUCUCAUUAAAACAGGAUGCCAGAAAAACAUAAGGUAGCUAGAAAUUAGAACUACGGUGACUAUGAUGCAUAAGUGAAUCAAAUGUACACAACAAGGAAUUUCAAAUCUAACUAGUUAGAAAAUGAUUUAAAACAAUGAAGCUACAUGAUGAAUAUGAUAGACACCUUUUGAUCUCAUAUGACUUCAUGACAAGCAACAAAUACUAGAUAAAUAUAUCCUGUUUAGUACUUUAACAAAAUUUAUCAAAUUUUCUCUUGCAGGGAUUUUUCUGUGUUGCGAGGAGGAACAUAGAUUUUCAGUCAUAUGACUGAUGUUUGUACUGAACUUGAUAAAUUUUUAAGAGAACAAUGCUGAGGCUCAUAUAUAGAAGAUGGCACCACAGAGUGUAACUGAUGGAUAUACGAAGAAGAAGAAAGGCAUCAACAAACCUCAAUGAAGGAAACAUGCAAUUGGAAUUCGGUUUGAUCCUUUAGAGUUUCGAUUUUGCUGAACAGAACAUUCAUAACUAGAGGAAUUAUUCCCGUUUGGUAUCCAUCUUUGAAGCCAGUUCCCAUUGUAUAUGUUUUUCCAGAUCCUGUCUGUAACAUAUUGAAACGUUAACUGAAAGAAAGAUGAUUACUCAAGCAUACAUUGCUUCAAUUGAGCAGCUUUUUCCACGGAACAUAAUCUUUACCUGACCAUAAGCGAGGACAGUUGCAUUAUACCCUUGAAACAAACCAUCAACAAGUGGAGCAAUACAUUCAUCGAACAUGGCAGAUGAAGGAGAACCAGUGCUCCCAUAUACAUGAUCAAAAGUAAAGGAGUGUGUCCCAAUUUGUACCUGCAGCAUAGUAAAAACCAGCAUCAGAAAACACACACGCAAGCACAUAUAGACACAAAAAUUCACAAAAUUACAAGCACUGCAAUUCAUAUCUUAUAACUACUGAAACUCUAGAAACCUGUUAAACUUAAUUCACAAGUGGAAAUUCUGUUACUCAAUAUGAAACGGAAGGAAUAUUUAUGAGACAGCUUAAGUGCUAAAAUGGUGUAUCAUGUUUGGCCCUUUCAUACACAAAGUACCAUAGAUAUUAAUCAUAUUUACAUAGAAAUACUUCAAAAUAUGAGAAUAGAGACGGGGACAAGCUGGGUGAUUCCAGAAAGUUGCAGAAGCUUUAGCUUGAUCUUAUAGUAAACAACAAAAAUGCAUAUGUAAUUCAGAUUAAUAAUAUACCGAUUGCCAAUAUGAAAUGUAGCAGACGCAGUGAACAGGCUACAGAAGAAAUAGCAAGAAGACUUACGGCACUGUUCAAUUUAAUUAAAUUUUUUCCUUAUCUCCUGAAACUUAAUUAGCUGAGGACCACUAUGGGAAAAAGCUGGAUACUCGUAAUUUACACCAAUAAGCUUAGGGACAGGCUUUGCAGAAGAGAGUAAAUGGACCAGUCUGAUUAUUCUAACGUUUUUCCAUAAAAGCAAACAAAGGCCAUGGCAAGGAAUUUCCUGAAUUGCAUCAUAACAAACAACAAGCGCAGCCAUUGCCUCUGAUUGGAACUUAUGAAACUAAUCCAAUCAGCGGAAGUAACUAGUGAUGACUAAAUUCUCUCAUCCAAGUCAAAAAUGCAAGACUCUCAAAAUUCUCACAAGACUGUUCAGCCCCUUAAGAUCCAGAUCUUCAUAACAUUUUUAACAGUGAAUUCACGCACGCUGAACAUUCACGUUCUUACUACUGUAAUGUUUCCACUUUCCUGCAGUAUCCAUACCUGAGGCUUCCCGGGAACGACAGCGACACAAUCCUUACAACCUUGUGCACGUUCGUCACCAAUGAGCGGUCUUACGUGCACGGCAACCUUCACGCAACAAUCCUCUCCACCGCCAGUUUCCAUAUGAAGCAGCUACGGAUUAAUUCGAAACACUUUUCAGAAACGGCAAGAACAGAGAGAACGAGCGUUAUUAAUGUGUCUGAAAGAUCAAUCAGUCUCAGCUAUAAAACCGUUGUCAUUGUCUCAGAAUUUGGAGAAUUUCGGACAAAGAAAGUGAUGAAGCUAAUAAGGGAGCAAGAUAUGAAAACUAAGAGUUAAGUUUCAGACAAUGUGUUAGAGAGAGAGAGAGAGAGAGAGAGAGUAUGUGUAGGAAAAAAAAAUGGUAAAAGAUUAGAUACAGAGAGAGAGAGAGAGAGAAGGGUAGUUGGGGAAUUAGAGGAUGGAGAACAAAGAGGGAUACAAGUAGCAACCGAACAGUUUAACUACAAAGACAACAACCACUAUCAUUUUCCUUAGGCUUCACUGCAUCACAACAGCUUUCACGGUUGUGUGUGCGCAAAAGUUAAACUUUCAUGACACUCUUUCCCAUUUUGCCCUUCUCCUCGCACAACGACUCUCACCUUCCUUCCUUCAUGGCGUCGUCCCCCACUUUCCCGGAUCACUUUUACGGUUUUACCCUCUCUCUUCCACGUAAAAUACAAGAAUACAAAUCAUGAUUGUCCCCACAAUACAGUAGAAAAAAGAGGAGAUGGCACAGCACACAAGCCACGUGACAUGGAAUCAUAUAUUGAUUUCUUGAGAAGUUUUGGGCACGAGCAGACUAAAGAGGACUCCGUGUACAACUAAAUUUUUCUUUGCAUGUGCAGUGCAUGUACGGGAUUUGCUCUAUGAUUGAGAAGAAAGUGAACCGUCCUUAAAUUAUGUACAAUUUUAUUAGAACAUACACUAGCUUAAAAAUAAUAAAUGCGAAACAAAUGAGUAUUAAUUUUCAUUACCUAACUACCAAGGUCUUGAUUUAAAAAAAAAUUAAAAAAAUAAUAAUAGUAGCGUUGUCAAUGAGUUUUGGUAUUUGAUAGGAAGAAGAAAGUGAUGUGGGGGAAGGUGGUACUGGCAAUGGUAGAGGAAGAGAAGUAAAGAAAAGGGUGGGGUGGGAGAGAGAGAGAGACCCACACAAUAGACAUAGCCAGCUGGUGGUCUCCCAUCCUCACAUGGCCUUUUAGUGUCUGUAGACCUGACUGGACCCCACUUUAAAAACUUGGUCAGACCGAAACUGGUCCCCAUGUUUUUACUGAUUUUGAAGCAGUUCAUAAAUUCAUCUUUGGUCUUUUGCAACUUUAAGGAUCAUCUUCCUGUGUCAUGCCAACGCACCCGCCUUAUCCUGUGGAUACAAACCAAAUUAUAUCAUGACCUACGACCAUUUUCUGUUUUCUGACCUUAGAUUUUAAUUAUCAUUAAAGCCUUUUCGAAAUCUCUCUUUCUUUAUGGUUUAAAGGAGCUAGCUAGAUCAGAUCAGAUCAGUGAGUGAGUCCCUUGCAUACUUGCACCAAAUGUACUUUUGUGGCUCAGGAAAACACAUGCGGUGCACGAGCCGAUCAGUGUAAUGGAACAAUUUGUGCUUAGUGUUGAGCAUUCAUGGGGUCGUUUAAGAGGGGUUAAAGCGGACCCUGGAAGUAGAUAAACCUGACCUUCGGUGAUGAUAAACAUAGGGCUGUGCACGUUUUGGCCGGCAUUGGACCAGCGUGUCUGUUACAUGAAACUGUCAGAUAAAUAGUUUUGACAGCGAUGUUGAGGAUUUUAGGAUUGCAUUUUAAGCAGGCUAAAUUGGUUUUGCAAGCAUCAUCACGGGGUCAAAUCACAUGAUUUUUACUGUGAUUUUUUGUAUCCACAGAAAUGCAUAAACGAUAAAAUAAGGUUUUAGAAGGUUUGAUAAGAUUUCCCUACCACAUAAUGGAGCGUGCCUCACCUUUUUAAGUGGGCCUUAGCUGAAACAUCUUGUUCUUGUCAUUAUAAUAUUUCCAUUCUGGGAGAGCGUAACCAACUAAUUUUGCAAAUUUUGAAAAAGAAUAGAAAGUAUCUAAAUCUUGACAAUUAUUUCCCAUCUUUCAGGUGCUGUGCAAAUGUGGACGUAUUUCCUAAUUAACCCGUUAAAAGGCCUAAUAACGUACAAGUGACUUUGCCAUGUUGGCAGGUGGGUAAAAUUUUACCAUUCCUCUGCCUUUCGUAGCCUUUUUCUUUGCUGCGGUAGACUGCAAGUUAAGCAAGCCGCUGGGGAAACCAAUCCAAUUGGCUUCUGCAGUAAUCUAUCCAGUUGCGUGCUUCAUUCACAAGAAAGAAUUGCGAGGGCAAGAAAAUGAUGGAAAGAAAAAAAAAAAAAAAAAAAGCUGAUGCAAAGAUCCUAAUCUGAAGUUUCGUUUCACGACCUAACUCUCCAUUCAUUGGAUUUUUCAUUUUUCCCAAUUCGGCCGUUAGUUUGGAUGCACACCAAGCAACCACAGAGACCCCACUUAAUGACUUGUGCUGGUUCAUCAGCUUUGUCCAGGCAUUGUAUUUUGCAAUUUUAACCUAUAAUAUACGAAGAAUUACGAUGAUACUUCUUGUAUAGCAAAAGGGAUUAAUUCUGUCACACGGUUCUUCUAAUACUAUGUAUGCGCUCUUCAAGUUGUCUUGUUGUCAAUCCCCCGACGGAAACCCAACACUGCGUUAUCACUGGAUCAUGAGAACAGUACAAGUAUGCAACGACGUGACUGGGGGAAAAUUAAGUCCAUAGCUUUUUUAGUUUACUAAUUAAAUUUCAGAGACCAGUUGCUACUUCUGCAGAAGUGCGUUCUUUAUUCUACCCUCAGUGUCACCCGACUUUUUUCGUUAUGUGGAGCUUAGCAUCACAUGCUCCUACCUGCUUUACAUCACACUAUGACUCUCAUUUCUCAGUCCUUACUUUUUAUCCCAGACGCCCUCUUUCUGUCCCCUCUCAUUCUAUCACAGCCCCAUAAGCAGCUCUUUUUUAUUUACGUGAAUAAUUUUUAAUACCGUUAUUAAACUAAGUUUGGAGUGCAUAUCUUAAUGUCCAAUCCCAUUGUUCUGUUACUCAGUGCACUCAUUUUUAAGCACAUUUAACAUAAUCUUAAAGGGGUUCAUCCAUAGAGGAGAUAUGAUUCCACAUAGGCAUAAUGAUCACCGUGGCCCUUUUGUCAACCCAAAGCCAAUAUACAAUCUAAUGGUGCUUUAUUUUUAGUUUUUCUUCUCCAUCAUACAUUGUCUUGGAUAUAAACUGCAAUAUCGCAGCUAAAGCUCAAGCUUUUCCCCCUCUUAUACAGAACCUUUAAGUUAUUAAGCUUAAAAAGCAUUUGAUUUUGAAGAGUGUGGAGACAUAGCAUGUGCAUUAUUGCUAGAAUUCAUUAUGCGCAUGCUUCAUUGCGUGGAUAGGCAUACAUCUAGCUGUGGGGCAGGCUCCUCUCAUGAAAUGGAAAUACUUUUUCUGUUGCUACUUGUAUCUAGUGAUAUUCAUUCAUCCAGAUCGAAUGUGUUGAUGAAUGUUAACGUGGAUAAUCUUCGCCCACAUAACAAGUCUUCCAACAAUUUCAUGGCCAUGCUAUAUCAUUCAUUCAAUCAUUGUUCUGAUUAACAUUUUAAGGUCAAUGAUAUUUGGCAAUUCUGGGUUCGUUUAGGGUCAUAUUGCUUCCUUGUGAGGAUUAGAAGAGCACACUAGCACUUGCUUCCGUAGAAGUCACUUAUUUUAGGGGAGAUUUGAAUUUGAAACUUGCCUUCACAAAUCCAUAUCUUCUCUUUGUUUAGUUAACACUUAACCCCUCCUCAUAUGAACCAAAAAGCAUAGACCUCAAAUCACAUUUUGGAAAUGUCGAUUAUGUAGUGUUAACAUUUUUACGAGUUUACAGUUUAAACGCUUGAAGAGGGAGAGGAUUCCAAUGUGACCUCGGGCUCAUUUUCAACUGUUGAAAGGAAGGGUAUUGUUACACAUUUCAAAAUUUAUCCCCAAAAAAAAAUCCUUCCCAAAUGAGUGAUUUAUUGCGCUUACAUUAUUUACAAGCGAUGCCCAAGUUCGAACGAGUUUGAUGUUUCCAACUUUCCAUUACUCGCUGCAGAGAGCCUUGUCUUUUAUCUGGUUUAUGCGUUCAAAUCUUGUACCAGGUUGAGCCCUUUUUGGGCUCCAACAAACUCUAGGCCCAUUUUUUACUUUAAAAGCCCAACAAACUCAAACUUCAACGGACCUACGUGUGUGCGUGUGUGUGUGUAUAUAUAUAUAUUGAAAUGAAAAUUUCGAAAAAGGAGACCGAAAUAAAAAAUCAUACUAGUGCAUUGUUUUACACUUUCACUUUAACUCAACACCAAGCGACUGGGCUCAAACACUCUCCGCUCCUCAGAUAUAAAUAGAGAGAGAGAGAGAGAGAGGGGUGUCAUAAAAUUCAAUUAAAAAUUUUUCGGUAAGGACUACUGUAUUAAUAUAUAAGUUUCAAGUUUGUACUAAAAAGGUUGUAAUACAUAAAUAUGAAUCAUGGAAGAAACAAAGUAAAAUUAAGGGUUGGUUAUUCAAAUCCACCAAAUUCUUCUUUAUACUCAUUUUAAAAAAUAAUGUAUUAUUAAAAAUAAAAUUUUAAAAUUACCAUUCACUAAAUCUAUUAUGAAUGAAUUGAUGAGAAUUUAUGAAAUUGAGAAGAAAAAUAAAAUAAAUGAUUAAUUAAGUAAUUUUUUGAAAAAUUUAUGAGUGAGACUAUUUGAACUCACUGAUUUCCUUCCUACAUCUUUUUUUCUAAUUAAGAAUUUUAUUAUUUAAAUAAUUUUUAAUAAAAUUACUUAAUUAACCGUUUCUUUUCUUUCUCAUCUCAAUUUCAUUAAUUCUCAUUAAUUCAUUCCGAUAUUUUUUUUUAACUGUAAAUAAUUGAUGUCACAAACUAAGAUAAACAAAAGCAACAUUUUAAAUUGAAUAUCAACAAUUUCUUAUCAGCCAUAAAAUUAAUAAAUAUCAAGAAAUUGAUUUUUACUAAACAUAAAAGUUGAUGAAUAUAAAGAAAAAAUUCUUAUAUGCAAAAAGCAUAAAAUAAAGAUCACAAUCUUAUAAGAAAUACUAAAAAAUAAAUUAUAAAAUAGUAAAAUUGAGUGUUUAAUUUAAAGAAUGUAAGAAUAGAGAUAAUAUUUAAUGGUAAAGUAGGGUGAAAAAUAUUAAUGAAGAAAAAAUUUAAAAUUUUGGGAUUUUUAAUUUUUUAAUGAUAAAUUUAUUUUUUAAAACAGAUAUAAGAAAAAAAACUUGGUAGGUUCAAUUAAUUUCACUUAAAAAUAUUUAUAUAAUAAAAUUCAUAAUUAAACAGCGUAGGGAGUAAAUUGGUGAGUUAGCCCCAGCCUAAAAAUGAUUGGUCCGUGAUGGCAAGCAUUUAUGUUGUGUUUACUUGCUGGAGUGGGAGUGAGGAGUGUGGAUUCCUCCCACUCCAGCGUUUACUUACCUAAAAUGGGGAGGGAUUGGGAGUCCCACUCCGUGGGCCCCACCUAUUUUUGGAGUGGGGAGUGGGAGUGGGACUCCCAUUGGGGGAGGUGGGAGUGGAUUCCCACUCCCACCUCUCCCAUUUCUACCCUUUUUUUUAUUUUAUGUUUUAUAAUUAAUAAAAUAAAAUAAAUAAUAUUAUAUUUAUUUAAAUAAUAAUAUUAUAUUUAACUAAAUAAUAAUUUACAUUGAUUCUAAGUUAAAAUUAAUUUAAAAUAAUAUUAUUAUAUUAAUAGAGAAUUAAUAAAUAUAAUAUUAUUAUAUUUAUUUUAAAAAUAAUAGUACUAUAUUUAUUUAAUAAUAAUAAUAAAUACUUUAUUCUAAGAAAAUAUUAAUUUUGUACUAAAUAAUAUUAUAUUAUUAUUUUAUAUAAUAAUAAAUUUAAUAUAAUUAUAUUAAAUAAAAUAAAAUAACAUUUCAUUUUAUAUUAAAAUUACAAUUAAUAAUUUAUUGUUCAUAAUUAAGAAUAUUAAUAAUUAUAAUAAAUUUACAAAUAUAAUAAAAUAAAUAUUAUUCAUUAAAUAUAUUUUUUAUUAGUUUUGUAAUUAAAAAUUAUAAUUCUUUAAAUAAGGAUAAAAUUGUAAUUUGAAACAAUUUACUCCCAAUCCAAUUCAAGACAAAAUAAACACAUAAAUUGGAUUCUGAUCUCUAUUCCAUGCUUCCAUUUCAGUGUAAGUAAACAACCUACUCCCACUCCCACUCCACACUCCCAAUCCUAGGAUUCCCACUCCUCUGAAUUCUCAAUCCAAUCCAAAAAGUAAACGCUACCUUAGAAAAAUAAAAAUUCGCUUAUGUUAUGUCGGUGCAGAGAAUUAAAAAAAGUGGAAAGAGAAAGUAAAAUAAUAAAUAAAUGGCUAAAAGGACGAAGCAUAUCUUCGUCUUCGAGUCGGCGUCGUGAAAUAUAGAAGCAUGGAAGUUGCGUAAGCUUCAAUCUUCCGUUUAAGAAUAUCAGAAGUCAACAUCCCGGGCAGCAAGCACGUACACGGUACUCGGUACUCGGUACUCGGUACUCGGUACUCAUAAGCUUGUUUCUUCUGCAAACAAACAUUGAUUAAUACAGUUAGUUAUACAAGCGAUCAUAAUUCAAACGUAAGAGUCAUCAUGUCGGGUGGUAUUGCUCGCGGCCGUCUCACAGAGGAGCGAAAAGCCUGGCGCAAGAAUCAUCCCCACGUAUUUGAUAAUUUUUUUUUAAAAAUUUUCCUUUUUGUCGUUUUAACCGCUCGCUAUUUUCAGUUCUGUGUCUCUCCAUUUUAUUUGCACAAAUGUUGUGAGGUUUGAUUUCCUGUUAUAGGGUUUUGUGGCCAAGCCUGAAACCAAAGAUGGUUCCGUGAAUUUGAUGAUCUGGGAGUGUAUCAUUCCUGGCAAGACUGGGGUUAGUCUUUCUUUUACUGAGAGAGUGAAAGUUGGGAUUUUUUUUUUUUUGGGGGGCGGAUGGGGGGCGCUUUUGUAUAAAGUUUUGAUCUCGAAGUUUAAACCUUUGAAUGAUUCAAGGUACUGUGUAUUAGUUAGGGGUUAGAAUUAAAAGUUGUUAUAUUUUUCAUAUAUUCUUCAAUUAUCUGUCAAUGUGAGGCUAUCAAUGUUGUUUUUUAAUUGUAUGACCUUUUAUACAGCAUUGUCUGAUCUCUGCCCUGCGGGGAUUACUGUACAGUUUUGUAGUUCUUAUCAAUUUUAUUCCCCUGUUUCUUGUCCCGCGGCUCUUUUCAAGCUGCCCAGUAAUUUGGAAGAUGUAGUCUCAGUUUAAAUUUGCUGGAUGCUCCAAAUUCCAUUCUUGUCUAAAUGUCUCAUCAACUAAAAGAUCGAUAUUGUUGAUUACGUUUUUGAGAUGCAAACAAUAUCAGAUGAUUAGUUUAACAGACAGAGUGGAGAUACUGGUGCCAUUUGCUUGUCCACUAUUGAAUCUCCUAUUUUAGACAAUUUUAUGGUGAUUUACAAUUUUAUUUUUUUUCCCCCACUGAAAAAAAAAAAAAAUGGCAGGGCUUAGCUUUAAGUUUUAAGGGAUGUGUAUAGUUACUUUCUUGUUAGUACCCAUAGUGAUUACAAUGAGAUGUUACUGCCUCAUUUGAAUAGUACCAUCCUUCUUAAUCUUGCAGACUGAUUGGGAAGGUGGCUACUUUCCUCUUACUCUCUACUUCAGCGAAGACUAUCCCAGCAAACCCCCAAAGUGUAAGUUUCCUCAAGGUUUCUUUCAUCCUAAUGUCUACCCUUCUGGAACAGUAUGCCUGUCAAUCCUCAAUGAGGACAAUGUAAGUUCUUCUUGCCGCUUUGUCAUAUACUUCCAAAUUAUGUAUGGUAGUGGAUUAGCUAAAAUUUCCAGUUUAGAUGACAUGAUGGCUUUCUUCUAGGGGUGGAGACCUGCCAUUACUGUGAAGCAAAUUUUAGUGGGCAUUCAGGAUUUGCUGGAUCAACCCAAUCCUGCUGAUCCAGCACAAACUGAUGGAUACCAGCUUUUCAUCCAGGUGCUUUAUUGGUUCAUAUAAACUCUCAGUUUUAAGUUUACUGUAGUUUCCAUUCUUAGUAUUAAAGAAUGCGGCCUUUUCCUUAAGCAAUAUGGCUUGACAUGAACAGGAUCCUGCCGAGUACAAGAGAAGGGUGCGACAGCAGGCCAAGCAAUAUCCACCUGUUAUAUAAUGCAAGCUUGCUUAAAUGGAUAUGAGUAACUCAUUUGUUACCUCACAUGGUUUAUGUCCAUCAUUAUUUACUACAGUAAACGCAGUUACAAGUGCACCAACUUUGGUGUUGAACAUGUUAUAAUAUGCUACCUGUAUCAUUUGUGAAGGGUGCUUUUAUUGGCUGUCUUGUUUUCUUCCUGUUCUGUUGACCGUUUGGCAACUUUUAAGGGUGUUACAAAUUAUGCUGGUAGUUAUGGAUAUUGCAAAUUAUGCUGAUUGUUAUGAAGUUAUGUGUUGGCUUUUCAAUUAAGUAUACAAAGAUGGAGUAGGUGAUAUAGUUGCUAAUACAUAAUUAUGAAAUUUUUUGGCAUUUAAGACUAUACAGUUCUUUUCUGGAUACAGGUACCUCAAUGAUUAGUGGGUGGUAUUGCUGUGUUGUAAGUUGCUUAAAUAAUUUGUUGCUUAUUUGAUGUGCUUGGUUGAUACGGGGUACUUGCAAUUGCAGUAAAAUCCGAGUGGGUUGAGAUUAGCAAGGUGAAUGUGUGAAAAUACUGGGAACGACAUGUAAAAGCUGAUGAUAGAAAGUGGCGUCAGCAAAUGUAUAAGUGUGGAAAGUAAGUUUGGGUGAGAACCUGAGAAAAUGAUGAUGGUAUAUGAUGCCACUGGGAGGAGGAUUCUGGUGGAUCAGCUGAGGGUGACAACCUGAGAAAAUGAUGGUAGUAUAUGCUGCUACUUCUGCUUUGACAAAACAACAAUUGAGUUGAUUUCUAGUACUUGUAGAUAUGAAGGUUUACACUUGUAUAUGCGUAUAUGUUUUUUUUCAAUAUAGUGGGUUAUUACUUGAUAUCUGAUUUCCACCUCUUCUGUGUUUCAAGGCUUUGCCCUUGGUGGCAUUUGAGAAAUUGCUGGUAAACAUUGAUAGCCUGUGGUAAUAUCAAAGGUUUAUAACUUCACAUGAUACAAUUAACAGUUAAAAAUGGCAUUUUGUACAUCCAUUUGUGCCUUUGGAGAUCCUAUGUUCCUUGUACAACUGCCUUCUUUGCCAUUUCCUUCAGAUGGUUUUGCAUUUUUCCCCAUCUGUACUGAUAUAUCACUGUUCUCAUGACUGCAUAUGUGCCUUCUUGAUCUUACCUUUCUUUAUUUGAGGUGAUUCCUCAGUUUCCAACAUCUACCUAAUUUUUGGUGCCUAUUUGUACCCCGAAUCUAGGCCCUUCACUUACCAGCUUUUCAUUGUGGAAUUAGCAUAGCAAAUAUGACCUUAGGAAGUCAGGCGCUCACCCGUGGAAGUACUGAGUUGCAGUCCCACUGUCAAACACCAUCUAAUCAAGUGGAUGUUCAAGUAUCAAAACUGUGGCGCCCAUCUAUUACUGUCAUCUAUGGUUAGUCUGUUCUACCAUCCUUGUAGUUACCUUUUUGAUAGUCUUUUAGCACUUUUCAUCUGACAAUAAAUGAAUGGUCUGAUUCUUAAAAUGCGCUGGUUAUAUUUGUGGAGUGAAAUACUGAAAUAUGCUGAAUAUAUUUAGCCUUCCAAAUGAGAUCCAUUAUUUAUUUAUUUAUUUAUAUAUUGUGCGGGGACAUAUGAUUGAAGAAGUCAAUUUAUGGCGUUUUGUUUUAUAUGCUGACGAAGAAUUGGAUGGCAGUUUAUUAAGUUCUGUUUCGCAUAGUCCUAUAACCAACUGAAGAGAGUAGAAUUUAAUUAGCAAAAGCUAGAGGAAAUUAGGACAGCCUUCAAAAAUAGACACGAUAUUAAAAAAUUGCCAUUUCACCGGCACCCGAGGAUUCGCUCACAGCCUUCUCAAUCAUCUCCUUCACCACAAUUAAACUCCUCCUCUAUCAAUUGAGUCCAUCUCUUAGCCCCAGCCUCCAUCCACUCCUAAUCUUAGCACCCGAGUAACCAACCUCUCGAUAUACAAUUGCUUACCCGAGAUUGGCCGAGUCAUUGUUGGCAGCAUUCUUAGUAUAGCUUCAUCUUCAAAUGUCAGCUAGUCAGCUAUAUAUGAAAACUCAAGUGGGGAGACGGAACCUGUAAUUUCUCCGACAAUUUAAAGAAUCUUCCGUCGAACCAAGAGAAAAUUUAAUAGGGUGGAAUUUUGUGAACUUAUUGUUUUCACGUGUCACAAUUUGGUUCAUAUUUCAAAUAAGAUCAGACCAAGCGGUGACUAAAUAAGAAGAGACCAAGCAUGGAAUGAAAGUUGCAAACUUGAAGAGCUUAGACAAAAAAUUUUAAUAAAUUGAAAGCCAAAACAUAUAAUUUUCAAAUAGUUGAGCUAAAGUGUAAUUUGAACCCUCAUUGUGGAUUUUUUUUGUUUCCGCCGGGGGGGGGGGGGGGGGGGGGGGUGGUGGGUGGUGGUGUGGAGAUAAUAAUAGGAAUAAGCUUGUUCAAAAUUUCAGGGCGAUUCAGCGGUAAAGGUAGCAAAAAUUUGUUUGUUAUCGGCAAUAAUUCUGUAACUUUGUUAUGGUUCUUACUAGACUAGAGUUUGAUUUUGAUGUCAUAUGACUCGUGUCAUACCUAAAAAAUCUUGUUUGUUCUCCCUGUCCACAGAGCUUGACCAAACAACCCAUAUGAAAUACGCUCGUUUUUUUAAUUCUUAUUCCUUUAUCAUGUGCGUUAGGUGUUGCAAUAACGACGUUGCGUGGGCACCCAUUAGCACUUGUGUCACUUUGCCAUAGUCUUUUGACCAGUGAAUAGGUGUCAUGUUUCUCUUUAAGGCAUUUAAUCUAGAAUCUGAGGUUGAUUUGCUCCGUUCUCUUUCAAUCAUAUCAUCCCACAACAUGUUACCAACAAACGGGACUCGACUAGCUUACAGAAUCUGUAAGGUACAGACUGCAGCAUCAGCCGUUGGAUGUGGUUGGAUGUGGAGUGAGAAACUAAACAAUAGAAAAUCGGAUGGUGGGAUGACGGGAGAUGUUUGUUACAGAAUCUGUACCAUAGACAGGUCCCCAACAAACGUAUUUUCAAGCAUCUUAUUUUGACCUUCAACGCAUCCCAACAAAUAUUUGACACCACAUUCUCUGUUUUUAUUUCUUUAUUAAUUUCUCAUUUUUAAUUGUCAACCAAUGCCUAUUUUUUUCAGUAUGCUGAGCAAAUUGUCUUCUCUUUUUAUCGAAGGAUCAAACCAUCUUAUCCUGAGUAAGGAGCUGUAAUUUUAUCUAUCAAUGUGGGGCAUUAGACAAUCUUUAACACUUUAAUAGUUAGAGCAUUUGUUUAAUUUAGCUAUUUGGCAGAUUAUCCCCCAAAGUGUUUGAUAACUCUUGCAACUUAACUUUGGCAAGAUAAUUGAUUAUUUUUUCACAAUUAUUUACUGAAAAUGAGCUCUAAAAAUGAAAGUUACUUGACAGCUAAUAUUUUUUGGGAAAUUUACGAAAAUAAUCAUAAAAUUUUUGCUAUUUUUACAAUUAACCCUCUCAACUUUUUUCUAUCAACAUUAGCCAAACACACGCUUGUCUACCCAAAUUUACCUUCUUUACAAACCAAAAGCAACUUUCUUUCUCCCUUUCGUCAAACCAAAUGCAGCUUUCCACUCUUGAAUCAUCAACCAACGGCGACGGCAAAAGGCAACGAUAAAAAUGAAAUCCGAUCAUAAUCUAUCUGAAUCCAAUACUAAUCGGCAUCACAUAGUGGUAUGAGUUAUUUUCUGAACUUGCUCGAGAGUUUCAGUGAACUGCGAAUCGUUGGUGAAUUUGGCGACAUGCUGUCUGUCGCACAAAGCUUGGUGCGACAGGCACCAAAAAUGGAUAUCCCUUGCCUAUCGCACCAACACUUGGUGUGACAUGCACCAAAAAUGGAUAUCCCUUGCUGAAGUGUUGGAGGAAUGUGUUGGAUAUCCCUUGGUGAAGUUGCCAAGUAUCGUGUUCUUCCCAUGCAGCAGCCAAGUUAGAAACUGGGGCAAAUGGGGCCUUAACUCUCUAGUUUGGGAUUUAAUGUUUGAAGAAAAUUUCGAUUUAUUGCUGCAGCAGCAGCUAUAUAUUGCCAGGCUGCUAGCCAACUUAGAAUUACAGAGCUGUUUAGCUGAAAAUGAACUUCCGCAAACUGUUACUCUUGUUUCUGACCAUAGGCUUGGUUGAGUCAACCGGUGCUUUGAUGUUUGCCUUCGAUGGCUUCAACACUUCAAAACUGUUGCUUUAUGGCAACGCAAAACUGGAUUCCGGUGCCAUUUCACUCACCCAAGAUACCACCUUCUCCAUCGGAAGAGCUCUCUAUCAUGCUCUGGUCUUCAUCUUCGUGCCUUCCGCAGGCAUCCAAGGCGCUGCUGCAUCUCAAUAUCUCGGCUUCCUGAAUAGAACAAAUGAUGGUAAUAUGAACAACAAUGUUUUUGGCAUCGACAGGAAGAUCACUGCAGAAAUGAGGCCCAGCCUUGUCAGGAAGAUCACUGCAGAGAGAGGGGUAUUUUAGUCUCAAAGAUCUUUUUAUGGCUAAUGUUGAUAGAAGUUUGUUUGGGGGGUUAAGAUGGAAAAAGUCAAAAUGUUUAUGGUUAUUGAUGUAAAUUUCCCAUAUUUUUUUACCAAACACUUGUCCCUUGAUAGCAAUCAAGAACUUUCAUUUCACAACACCUUGGUAACAAACAAAAGGAGCCUCAACUUUCUAAUGAAUCAACAUGUAAGUGUUUUAUUUAUUUAUUUCCAAUAAAGGAGCGUACAUUGAACAUUUGAACUCCUGAAAAAAAGCAUAUCAAGGAUCAAUAGAUUGGACAACUUGAAUGAAACAUCGGUAUUAAAUAUGUACAAAGGAAUGAAUUCUUGAGAAGGCAAAAGUAUACAAGACACCAAGUUAGAAGAGCAAAAAUAUACACCCUCUAGUCCUCUAACUAUUUGCAGCGUCUGUUUCUGUCAUGUAAGUUUCGAAGUACAAAGUAGUCGUCGAGAGUCCGAUGUAGAAAUCCAUGGCGCUCGCACAAGAAACACAUGACUCAAAACGGAAGAAAAAAUAAUAAUAACAAUAAAACAACACAACUUGCAUUGGUGAAAAUUUGCUUGUGAUCGACCCUUUAAUCUCCUAGCUACAACACUGUGUUUGGUGAUCGUCCAGAACUCUCCAAUACAAUUUCAAAUAAAUCAGCCUCAGACUCCUCAUCAAAUUCCUCUGUUCGAUUAUUAGCACCAGUGUUGUGACCGCCUUUGGUUGAGGAUCGGUUAAGCCAUUGAGAGUCAAUUCUUCCCAUAGAGAAGAGCUCUUUGCUGUCCUCAUAGCCUAGUGCUGCAGCAGGUGGGUUUGCAAGAGGGCCAAUGAAGCACGGGUUUGAUGUUCUUUGUGCAUUUGCUGGUGCAUAUGUGAAAGCACUUUGUCCAAAAUUGACAAGUAUCAAAACAUCAAUAUUUGCCGCUAUAGUUGGAUAGAGGGGAGUUUCAAAUUCCUCAGAUUUGCAAUUGAUCACGUGCACCAGGUCUGAAUCUACUGUGAAGAACACUUUCUUUUGCCUCGGAUCAAACCCACAACCAAUCACCCUUUCUGUUCUUCCCCAUUCUGCUUUCUCGGAUUCAAAAACAAGCUUAAUCCCUGAAAGAAAAAGAAAUCAUAUGAUUGAUCUUCAAAAAGAAUUUUUAUUAUUUUAUUUAUCCAUUUUGUUCUUUUGUGGCCACCACAUAGAAGUCACUUGAGCACUAAGAAUGCUAAAGAAGUCACUUCACCACUAAGAAUGCUGAAAUAAAACUGUUUAAAAAUUGAGUUAUACAGAUAAUAUAGCAAUAGUUUAUAUGACCCCUAACUAAAAAUUGGGUCAACAGCUUCAUACCUACUUUAACAUACAUUGAAGACAGGCUAAAUAAAAGGAUCUUUGCAAAUAAUAAAUCUCUAUUAUAAGCCAUGAUCAUGUCAUAUAGUGGGCCUUUUAUCAUUAUCUUUCACCAAUAUUGGGACCUUUUAGGUGGAAGAGAUUUAUUCAUUAGUGGGAUGCUACUGCUCGCUGGUACAGUGAAUAAUAUCGUAACUGUUGUAUAUGUUGUAACUCUAGCCAUGGAAAUUAAAAAUAUAUUAAUAAAUAAGGAAAAAGAUGAAAGAUUUUACCGUCCAGAUAGACAGAACCAUCAGAAUUGAAUCCGAUUGAUCCCGGAUAACUUCCGGGGAGUCUCAAAGGAAGGGAGCCACCGGGAGUGAGCCCCAAAGACAACAUUACAACUUCGCCCUUGCCAUCAUCUUUAGCAGCAGCAAGCUUCAAUUCUUCAACCUUGUUCACACUAUGACUGCUAGUAACAUGGACUAGAGAUUCGGAAUUCGCAUUUGCAUAAGAAUUUUCUUGGAUGAGUUUAGUCUUCUCGCCUUCUCUAGUCUUUCCAACUGAUUGAGAUUGACCAUCAUCGCGAGCAUACAGAAUGGUAAUUUCAAAAUAGGCCUCUUGAGGAAAAGCAGAGUUGCCCAGAGGCGGCCCAGGCAAAGGCAGGGCUGUUCUAAUCACGGCAGCAGCAGACAUAAAAGGGCUGCUUGUAUUAACCUUCUUUAGUCCUGAAUUGAGCCUAAUCUUUUGCAUAAAAUCUGCUGAUCCUUGGCACACGUCCCAGCUUAUAUCCGCUUGCGUUUCUCUUCCGUAAUCACCAACCGCGCAUAUUCCUAAUAGGCUUGAUCUAGUGGACGGAGAUGACAUGUAGGUCGUGAAACCAAAUCUAGACCAUCCAUUUUCGACAGCAUCUGUCACAAGUUCCGGAUGAUCAGCCCAGUUGAACAAUGGUUUGGCUGAAACUCCACGUCGGAAAACGUAGUAAUUUCCUCUCCUCUUGCUAUCUAAAUCAAGAUGAUUAUGCGGACUCGGACCGUUCUGUUGAUGAAGCUGCUGCGGAAUCCGAGUUUGAAGACUCUCGGGGGUUGUUUGGUUCGCGUCAACAAAAUCCUUACGGUGUCUGUUGCAACACCAUCGCCAAAUAAACACGAUCAAAAGCAUUAUAAGAACUCCUGCGGAAAACGCCACGAGUAUAACAUGAAGCAUCUCGUAUUUUAUGUGGGAUUCGGAGAAUAGUUCUGUAAGGAAAUGGGGCAAGAAUAUGGAGAGGCAUCCAAUUAAGAAGAAACAGAGGACAGGUCACAGGCCGACGCAGGCGUGGACUAGGACUGAUUCAAGAAAGGCAGGAGAGCAAAAUAUUGUGCAAGCUAACGCAGUAAACCCAAAAAAAUAAAAAAUAACGUGGAGUUAAUGUAUUAAUUUAAUUAAUUCUAAACCGAAAAUAUUUCCCACUUAAAAAAAAUAACGCGUUCUUUGAUUCAUUAAAGCUUGUGUGUGUUUAUGUAGCUAUGCAGUCACAAGCACUUCUAGAAGGGCCACGUGGGCAAAUACUUAUGGUGGGCUGCCACACUUUUCUGAAUUGACUUGUCUGACAAAUGGAAUUUAUGGAGGAGACAACAUGGAGAUUGGUUAAAAGGUGACGUGAAUGAAACAAAGGAACAUCAACUUAUUGUAGUACGAGUUUGGGAAGUUUUUUGUCUGACUAACACAGUAAACAGUUAAUCCUAAAAAUGUUGUGACCUCUGCUAAUUAACAGUGGUACUAUCUAUCUAAUGAUUCAAUUCUGUUUAAACGAUAAAAGAAAGCAAUGAACACCAAUCCCUCGUGAAAAAGUUCAUUAAAUUUGGGUAAUUGAAAAUAAUUUGUUUGAUUUGCCUUCCUUUCCAUGACUCCACAUGUACAUUCCAUAUAGAAAUUUUGUCUCAUUUGGAUUUUGGGCGACAGCAAAGGCUAACUGUGCCUAGAUACAUCGGAGGGGGCACGCGCCUAGUUUUGCCAAAACCAAUUUGGGGUGCAUGUGGGGAAAAGUAGACGUGGGGACUUCAAUUCUUGUGUUAUAGCCUUUCUUUAAUUCAUUUAUUUAUUUAUUUAUUUUACUUUUUGUAUGGUAUCCUUUGGUUUGCAUUUAGAGGCAUCUUGGUUUUAUUUAUUUGAUUGUAAACCUUUUAUGCCAUCAAAAUUUGGUUACAGAUAGAAUGAGUUCUAUCUUCUGUAUGGAAUAUUUCUGCUCGCUGCAGAGGUAAGUUGAUUAUGUACAGGAGCUAAAAGAUGAAAGAUUUUGUUUUAUAGCAUUUGGGCAAUGGCUUAAAACUCAAAUUUUAUUGUGAGCCAUAACUUCACAAGAGAAACCCCACCAUAUAUUGUACAUACUUGGUUUGCCUUAAGUCAUUAUCAUUCAUCCCCUGAAUCGAUUGGAAAACAUGAGAGCAAUCAUCAGAAUAGUUUAUAAUUAUCCUGUUUCGUAGUAGUUGAUGAAAGGUGAAUAUAAUAAUUCUGAGGAUAACUGCCAUAAUUCAAGGAGACAUCAUUAAAGGGAAACAAGAAAGUUAAAAAGACACUUGAUUUGCAAAACCCUUAAAAUUCUAUGAAAAAGAGAUCUUAUAGGGCUUUGCUAAGUUGAAAAUAAGAAGCAAAUUUUGCUUGCGCUUAGAAAAGGUAGAAGGAUCCUUGUUUUUGCCAAAUUUUUUGCAAUAAGAAAUUGAGUGACGAGACAUAUCACUCAAGAUUAUUAGUGAAGUCAAUUAACAAAAGGGUUUUUUAAUUGUGUCCUUCUAUUUCCCUCUCAGACUGGCAUUGAUAGACGUCUUUCUCUUUUUAUAAAGGAAAAAAUGAGAAAGUGAAAGAAUGGCAAAAAAGAAGAAAAGUUAGCAUGACGAUCAUAACCUGCAACAAAUAGCUUCUUCUUUUUUUCUUCCCGGGGAGUGUGGGGAGAAAUUAAUACGGGCACGGGGACAAAACCAUUUAAGUAGGAGCCCAUUCAUUUCACUUGUCUCUCUUGUUGCGGACAAGACUUCUCACAAGUAAUGAUUGGCUAUAGAGUUGCUUAAUUCUACUGGCAUGCUAAUCUGGGACUUGUGAAAAUGAAAAUUACAUUUGACAUAUUUCCAGACGUUGGAAUUGCAUCAGCGCAGAGUAUCAAGUAUCGGUUCGCGCGUGUUAUAACAGUGGAUGAGGAUAUUCUCACUGGUAUAGUGGAUGUCACAGCUUUAUUAAAAAAAAUGAAUUAUAAAAGUCCCCUGCUGCAAAAAUUAAGAUUCUAAUGAUCAGAUUUUUUAAGCUAUCAGAAAUUAAAUUGGAAACCGAAUCUACAAGCUAAAAACUUCGAAAUCGGAGACAACCUCAAUUGAGUUAAGAUGAAGGAAAAGCAGAUAAAAUAAAAUUCAACUCACUUAAACACUGGUUUCAUGAAUGUACAAAGUCUUCUAACAGAGCAUGAAUUGUCAAUAAGUCUUCUAUAUGAAUGUACAGUGCUCACUCGUCCUCAAGUGUGUGAUUUUUGAGAAAUGGCAAGCAACCCCAUUGUCUUCUUUGCCAUCAUAUUCAAUUAUUCAUCUUGAUAACACACUUCUGUGUCUUGAAACUUUCCAUCCAUCUCUCUCAAAGCUUUUCAAUACUACAGUUAAAUGCCAUAUUGGGUACUGGUUUCGAAUUCUCAACUUGUGAUAGUAGGCCCAAAAGACACAUGUCUAAGCCCAUGUUGGACAAUGGCAGGUCCAUUAAGAUCGGAUAAGACCCCCCAACAAUCUAUCUCGGUAUCCCCUCUAUCUGAUUAAAUUGAAUUCGCGUCUUAAUAGCAAACAAGAACAAAGAAAUGAAAAAAUGAAGUGGCUCUGCAGCUCGCUCGACGCACGCCCUCUGAAACCCCUGGUUCGUUAUAACAAAAGUGACUUCCAUUUCUCCCAAUCCCUUGUACUUGAGAAACUCCCCACUCAUUUCAACACCAAACUCGCUCUCAAACCCUCGAAGUGUUGCAUCAAAGCCAGCUCAGCGUCGGCGUCCAUUGAUAUCGACAUGGUGAGAAACAAGCAAGGAAUCUACACGCAAAAACAGAACAACAAAGUGGUGGUUCUGUGGGACCUCGAUAACAAACCCCCGCGGGGCCCGCCUUACGACGCCGCCAUGUCGCUGAGACGAGUGGCGGAGAGGUUCGGGGAAGUCACGGACAUCUCGGCUUACGCCAACCGGCAUGCGUUCAUUCACCUGCCUCAGUGGGUCAUCCAGGAACGCCGCGAGCGCAAGCAAUUCGACAUUCUCGAGCGCAGAGGAGUGGCGGUUCCAAAUGAUCCGUACAUUUGCGGGGUGUGCGGACGCAAGUGUAAAACCAAUCUUGAUCUGAAGAAACACUUUAAGCAGUUACAUGAACGCGAGCGGCAAAAGAAGCUGAAUCGGAUGAAAUCCUUGAAGGGUAAAAAGAGGCAGAAGUACAAAGAGAGGUAUAUAAGUGGGAAUGACAAGUAUAACGAAGCUGCCCGGAGUUUGUUGAAGCCUAAAGUUGGUUACGGAUUGGGCUCGGAGUUGAGGAGAGCGGGGGUGUUUGUUAAGACUGUUAGGGAUAAACCACAGGCAGCUGAUUGGGCGUUGAAGAGACAAAUGCAGCAUUCCAUGAGUAGCGGGGUUGAUUGGAUGUUUUUGGUGUCGGAUGAUAAUGAUUUUAAGGAGAUGUUGAGGAAAGCGAGAGACGCCAAUUUAGGGACGGUUGUUGUAGGGGAUUCUAAUAGAGGAUUGGGGCAACAUGCCGAUUUGUGGGUGCCCUGGAUUGAGGUGGAGAAUGGGGAGUUAACUGAGAGGGAUUUGGUGCCUAGGACGAGGAGGACCACAACUGAGGACUUUGAGAGGGAUGGUCAUGGUUUAUUUUCACUUACUGAGUUUGACGGGGUAGUUGGUUUCGAGGAUGAGACUGAUUUGGAUAGUGUGGUUAAUGAACUUGUUGCUGAAAGGACCGAGUUUGGUGGUGUAAGGAUUUCAAUGUUUUCUGAAGGGGAAGAGGAAGAGGAUUAUUGGGUGACUGAGGAGGCAGGCGGAGAUUAUUUGUUGGAGGGUGGGGAAUUGGAAGAGCAAGAUAGUUGCUUUUGAUAUAAGCAAGUGUGCUUGGUUAUAGAAGGCUUCUUAUUGUUUUGGUUUCGUUUCGUUCUCUAACCUGGGAUUAGUUUUCAAACUAAGAUCGAUUAUGCAUUGAGAACACGGUUGGGGAAGUGAAUUUUUCUUGUUGAUAGUUUGGUUUCUCUUGAGGUUGGAUAACUAUGAAUGAUUUUAUCCAUUUGAUGGUCCAAAUCAUUGUGCAAUCAUGAACAGGUCGGUUUUGCUAUCAAACUCUGAAAGUUGAUGCUUUUUAGUCUUCAGACACACAAUGGGUAGAUAACCUCCUCAUGUUUCCUCUUUUAGUGUAUAGUAUUCCUAUAUUUAAUUUGCAGUUGCUACUGAUGGGAAUAUUACAAUACUGUGAUUCAUCCGUCUGCAUUGCUGUUUCAACUGUCCUCAUAGUAAAUGCUUUAACAUGCCAUCUGAUUGUACUUGACUAGAUUAAAACUUUAUUGGUGGUAUAAGACAGCUCUUUAGGUUAAUUGGGUGGAAUGCAUUUUACCUUGAUUGAAAACCUGUUCAUAUCAUUGUCGUCUAUUUGUUGUUGUACAUGCUUUUGGUUUUCAACGUUGUGGCUUUUUGAGAAAACGUGAAAAUGUU
rnacentral:lncRNA from 1 species